rnacentral:lncRNA from 1 species
GACUGUUGGAUUAGGUGUCUAAGCCCAUAACUAUAAUUGGUAUGUACUUGAAUUGAUAGCAGCACAGUCCUUUUGGGUUGCCCUCAAACCUAGCAACCAGACAAGGAAAUUAUGAAAGGAGAGAUAUUAAUUUAUUAUAAGAUUAAUAAAUUAAUAUAAAUGAAUUUAUUAAUAUGUUAAAAGAUUAAUAUAUUAAUAAGAAAUCAUUAUGUUUAAUUAAUUGUUAGCCAGAAAUUAAUUGGAAUUAAUUUUGGGGUUAAAAGAAUUAAUUAUAAGGUGCAGGGACUAGUAUGCAAUUAACUGAUAGUUGAAUGGAAGGUUCCAGAACCCCCUUGGAAGGAGGUGGACGAAAACCCUAGGGGAAACCCUAGAGAAUUCGUCCAAGGGGUCCAAGAUAAGGCCCUUAGGUUUGCUUAGGCCCUAAGCAAAGGAUAACUAGGGUUUCCCUUAAACCCUAGAUCCCUCAGCUAUAUAAGGAGCCUCCUGGUUCAUAUUUUGGUCACUCUUUGUUUUGAAGAAACCCUAAGGCCGAGAUUUUGCAUACUCCCUCUCCCCUCUCUCUUCUACUUUCCUUCUUGCUAGUUUGGGUGUGAUUUCAUUAGAGUCAUUACACUUGUGGUGCUAAGCUUCCAAGAAGAUCAAGAUCAAGAUCAAGGGAAUUGUCAAUUGUUUGCUAGAAAGGUGUGUAACUCCUAACCCUAGUUUAUUAAUUUCGAAAUUAGCCUCUCUCCUCUAGGGUUCUUGUUUUGCAAUUUAAAGUUGUAUGUUCAAUAGUUAAAGCAUAGAUCCAAGUAGGUUGCAAGUGAACUUAGGAAUUGUUUUCUAGGUUAUUUGUUUUACCUAAAACCCAUCAGCGUUUAAUAUCUAUGUGAUGAUUGUGUGAUUGCGGGUGGGUUGAGGCGGUCCUGCUUUGUGCUCUAGGCCAACAGACUCAGGGUGGCCCGGAUAGACUGAAGGCCCAUCGGGGUGUACCAGUCAGGUCGAAGGCCCAGAGAACGGUCCAGAUAGGUUGAAGUCCCGGUGAGGUGGUCCAGACAUGUUGAAUGUUCUAAGAGUGGGCCAGAUAGACUGAAAGUCCGGUGAGGCGGUCCAGUCAUGCUGAAGACUUUAUAUGCAUUAUAACAUCCCAAUCUUCAGGUAUGAAUUUAAAGCUUUAUAUUUAUAUUUUCAGGGCAACUCGACGAGUUGGAAGGCUCUAACUUGCAAUGUAGAGUAUUUAAUGCCCGCGUAUCUUUCAAUGUCUACUCAACGAGUUGGAAGGCCCCAACUUGACAAGUUGAAGGCUAAACAUGAAAACCCUAUUUUUUAGGGUUUGCACCCUAUUUAAAGGCCUUAACUCUCAUUGUUAGCCCCCUCAUCGUCCCCUCAGUCCAGAGAAAACCCAAAUCGUGCCUUUUUUUUUUUUUUUUUCCCAUUUUGAGUGUUUGAGAGCUUAAAGAGUAUUCUUUGGUGCUUUUCUUGAAGGAGCUUGAAAUUGGUGGUGCAAAGUUGAAGGGAGAAGCUUUAGAUCCGGGAUUUUCAGUGUUGUUGCAGCCACUUGGAGGUAUAAAUUUGUUAUCUUGAUCAUCCUUUUUUCUAGAUCUCUUCUUUUGAAAGUUAUGGCCAUUAUUAGCUUAUUUUGGGACUAUUCUUGGAUUUGAGCAUGUUAUGAAGCCAUGGUUUCAGAUCCGGACAUCCUAUGGUCUCCAUGGACUUAAAGUUGCCAACUUUAUCAAGUUUUGGCCCUCCUUCAUGCCCUAGGUCCCUUGAUAAGCCUUAUUUGAGCGUUUUAGCCCUCUUGAUGCCAUGCAUGGCCAUAUAGCUAGCAACUUUACGUGGUAUUUCAGUCCUAAGGGACCAGAUCUAUAGUUUGGGGCUUUGGUUUUGCUUGGAAGUGUCUGAAUUCAUUAAGGCAAGGAAAACUCAACGAGUUGCUCUGCCAAUUCGACGAGUUAGUUCGGGUUUUCCCACUUUUUAGAUGCUAAAGAACUCGACGAGUUGCUCUGGUAACUCGACGAGUUGCCUAGAGCUUUUCGCGAUUUUCUGAGACAUGAAGGAACUCGACAAGUCAGAAGAUGCACUCGACGUAUGAAGUUUUUUCUUAGAGUCGAAUUGUAGCAAAAAUCUGACGUAUGAAGUUUCUCACCAUGAUAAUGCUAUAUAGUAUAUGAUUUUAGAAACCUAUAAUCAUGUAUGUGGGCUUAAACUGUACUCAACAACUUUCGAUACAUAUCCACACACUUUACACACGGGCAACACACUUUGUCUUAAGAGUCGACAUGUUUCCCAUCAAUCUCGAUAAAGUUUUUAAGACAUUCUAAGAAUUUUGGAGACGUUCGGUUCUCACAAAUCCAACUAUUAUCGAUCGUUGUUACUGUUUCAUUAUUAAAAAUUACAUUUUAUACAUAGUUAUUGAAAGUUAAUUGUAUUUUGGCUCUAUGUGAAUAUGUAUUGCAUGACUGUUUGUUUGAGAAAAAAUUUAGAUGGAAUGGAUAGAGUAUUUACAAGUAUAUAAAGAAAUACACACCUGAGAAGUAAACAUCGUACAUAGCAGAUAUAAUAUUCACAAGGGUAGGCUUCUAAACCCACUUUUUAAAUACCUUAUCUCAUAUGUGAAUGUGUAGUGCAUGACUCUUUGUUUGAGAAAAAAUUGGCAACAUUUCCCCUUAGCUCCCAAGAAUAUAAAGAAAUAUAUACCCGAUGAGAAAAGAGGAAAUGAAAACCCAAUUUUUUCUUAAACAAAUAAUCCUACAAUACACAUUCAUAUCCUAAAUGAGAUAAAGUAUUCAAAAUGUAGUCCCAAAACGAGGACAACCCAAUAUUAAUUUCUAAAUCUAUUUCGGGCGGGUAUUUCUAGGCUCUUGAUGAUUAUAAAGAAGAGACUUAAACCAAAAAUCAAUGAUUCAACGUGUUUGUUAAUUAUAUGAUGCUUUAACAAACAAACUAAUAAAAGUAUAUUGUAAUUAAUAACCUUUGUAGUUAGGUUUUCUUUAAUAGCAACAUACUUUUAUUAGUUUGUUUAUUAAAGCAUUCUAUUUUCAUUUAUUUUUCACAUAUAUAGUACUUAUAACAUCUUGUUUUUGUUUUUUUUUCAAUUAUAGCAAUGUAAUUAAAUAUUAUUUUGUUUUUUCUAUUAUAGCAUCAUACUUUUAAUAACAACGUACUUUUAUUAGUUUGUUUUCUAUUAUAAAUAUAAACAAAAAAAUAAAAAUAGAAUGCUUUAAUAAACAAAAUAAUAAAAAUAUGAUGCUAUUAAUAACCUUUAUAGUUAUGUUAAUAGCAACAUACUUUUAUUAGUUUGUUUAUUAAAACAUUUUAUUUUCAUUUAUUUUUCAUAUUUAUAGUAUUUAUAGCAUCUUAUUUUUGUUUUUUGUUUUUUUUCAAUUAUAGCAAUCUACUUUAAAUAUUAUUUUGUUUGUUAUAGCAUCAUACUUUUAAUAAUAACGUACUUUUAUUAGUUUGUUUUCUAUUAUAAAUAUAAACAAAAAAUAAAAAUAGAAUGUUUUAAUAAACAAACUAAUAAAAAUAUGGUGCUAUUAAUAACUUUUGUAGUUAUGUUAAUAACAACGUACUUUUAUUACUUUGUUUAUUAGACCAUUUUAUUUUCACAUAUUUUUCAUAUUUAUAGUAUUUAUAGCAUUUUUUUCAAUUAUAACAUUGUACUUUAAAAUUUUUUUUUCUAUUACUUUUAAUAACCAAGACAAUCAUACAUAUGCAUUUUAUACAUCCAAACUAGUAAACCUAAACAACCAAGACAAUCACAUAUACAUUUUAUACAUCCAAUUCCAAACAUAUUAUAUGUACUUAAACUAGUAAACCAAAACAAAUAAUAAAAUCAUGCAUAUUAUACAUUCCAAACAACUUAAUUCCAAAAUCAUACAUAUUAUACACUUUAUACAACUAAUUCCAAAAUCGGGACAGAAAUAACCAAAUCAUGCAUAUAACACAUAUAAAUACAAACACUUUAAAAACUUUAUAUAACUUAAUCACUAAAUAGUAAAUACUCUAUCAAUUUAAUAAUUUAUCACUUAAUCACCAAUAUACAUGAUACACAAUUAACACAAGCAUAUGAUAACUACUUACUCACGUAUUUAUAUUAAUACACAAAUGAUAACUACACUAACAUACAUACGUAAUUUAACACUUUAUAACUUAUUUAAUCAAUUAAUGACUUAAUAGUCUUCAAAUUAUAGCAAACUCAGAAAUAAAAAAGGUUGGAAAUUACUUACAUGGAAUGACGAAAAUGAAGACAGGAGUCACCGGGUAUUCGGUAGUAGCUGUAGUCACCGGAAAACAAAAAAGUCAUCAUUUCAGGAAAAAAACCCAAAUAAAUGAACUUUCUUAUCUGCAACGACGGAGGGAGUGGAAGACGUGGUCACCGGUGGUGGUUGUUAUCACCAGAGGUGGUUGUUGUCAAAGGAAAACAAAGAAACAACAUUUUAGAAAAAAGCCCAAAUAAUGGGAUUUUCUUACCUAAAACGACGGAGGGAGGGGAAGAGGUGUGAUGUAGUUUAGAUGUAUUUAGUUCAAGAAUAAAAGAAUUCAAAUAAAGCUGGGUGGGUCAAGUCAAGUGGGAUUUGCAUACGUGAUAAUGUCACACCCCCGAACCAGACGGCGGAAACGUCCGGGGGCUGUCGUGACUCAAUUGCAUACCAUAACAUUGAAUAUAUAUGAAACAUAACAACAUUCGUCACCAUUCAUUACAUAGUACAACCAGUAGUGUUUACAUGUCAUACAUUGUUUAAAACAUUACAUUCCCAAAAAUUAAUUUGUUCCAUUCAUUCAAAAAUAAACUGCAACCGUCACUGAAUAUGAUUUCCCUUGAUUCACUGGUUCCCUGAGAAUACAAGUAUUUUGAAAAACGUCAACAUAUGAAAUGUUGGUGAGUUCAUAAGUAGUGUUUGAAAUCGAAUGUUUGUAUUGCUUGAAAAACCACCAGAAAAUCCGAUAUUUUCUGAAAAGAAAAGCUUUUGAAAACGUUUGUGAAGAUCCAUAGGUAUGCUUGUUUGUUUCUAUACUUGUAAAAAAAAAUAUAUUCAUUGAAUAUGUAUGCUUUUCAAAUCUGUAUGUAUUGAAAUCCCUAGGAAAACCCGACGUUCUCCUAGUUCCUUGAGUUACAUGAAGUUACAUUGAAACCGUUGCAUAGCGUAUAGUGUCAGUCCCAGGCGACGUUGGAAGGUUCUCGAGCAGGAUUAUUUACUACAAACCCGCGUUACACAAACGCUCCGUUUAUAGAUAUACUAACGAACCCGAAGGCGUCGUCAGUACUAAUCGCGUUAUCCAAUCGCCCGGACAAGGUGUAGUCCCACAUCCGAAGAGAAAGAGGUCACGAAGACCCCGGUGACUCCAUUAACCGGUUGGGGAAAAUAUGCGUGCGAGGGGUCCCCGACCCGCCUCGUAAAAUAUGCAGACUCUUCUAGCAAUACCAAGGACCCUUGGGGACCAGUGGUACAAGCCAUUGAAAGUCACUCUACGUUGUGCCAAGUCGGUGAAACUCAACACUUCGUAGAAAAUAUGUGUCUUCGGGCCUUAAGAUCAGGUCAUUGGGCUAGCUAGGCCCAACAAGCAAGAUUUUACACUUUUGGGGCCCGAAGAUGGUGCGUAGACGUCUGUGCACACUCGUAUGUAUAUGUAUUACCAAACGUUAUUUGUAUGAUUCGUAGUAUCGAAGAGUUAGUAGUUGUAGAUUUCCAUUGGCUCGAGACCGAGCCAAUUCGUUUAACAACGACUUUUGGUAUUGUAAUGAGUUGUAUUUCGUCGAUAGUCGCGGUGUCAUUAUUUGAUCAAAUUGUACAUAUUGAAUUAGCCUUGAAAUAUUUCUGUUUUCAGCCCCUCAUUAUUUGUAAAAUUUACAUUUUCAACCCUUUUUAUGUAAUAUUUCCCGGUUUGGUCCUUAAACUAUUUUUCUUGACAUUUUAACACCAAAAAUUAUUGAAAUUAAUAUUUUCCAGCAUAUUUUUCAUAGAAAACAGUUUAAGUCCCUGAAAAUGCAGUUUUUCUCGGUUUUAGCCCUUCUUUUCGCAAUUUUGACAAUUUUGGCCCAAAUUGGAAAAUUUUUGCAACUUUGGUCCUUUUUAAAUUUAAAAAGCAUUUUAAACCUUUGAAAAGGAUUUGGGACACUUAUAGUCCACUGUUUUACAGAAAUUCACAGUUUUGGCCCUCCAAAACAGAAAAAUUCGCAUAAUGGGCCUCCUUGGGCCGAAAUUUUCAUUUUUAGCCCAAUAAGCUUGAAAUUUAUGUUUUUAAUCCUCUAAUUGAAUAUAAUUCCAGAAAUAGUUUUAUGGAAACUGUUUUGGCACAUUUCAUCCAUCAGAAUCUGUGAAAUGUCAAUUUGGGCCCUUAAUUUUGUAUUUUUCACAUUUUUGGCCCAAAAUGUGUGUUUUUAGCUUAAAGAAAAUUGUUGCUAACCACUUAGCUAUUUUUCUUGUAUCACUUUAUAUGUAGAAAUAUAUUUGAAGCUAAAAUCAUAAAACAUAAGUUAUAUCUCGGUUUUGAGGGGUUUAAUGGCUAGAUCCAACAUUAAAACACAUAAAAGCAUACAUAUAAGCAUGGAAAUCAUACAAGGCAUACAAAACACAUAUAGAUCUACACUUUCACUUGUAUUCCCCCCCCACAAAACUCAUAAAAACAGAAAAUAGGGGGNNNNNNNNNNNNNNNNNNNNNNNNNNNNNNNNNNNNNNNNNNNNNNNNNNNNNNNNNNNNNNNNNNNNNNNNNNNNNNNNNNNNNNNNNNNNNNNNNNNNNNNNNNNNNNNNNNNNNNNNNNNNNNNNNNNNNNNNNNNNNNNNNNNNNNNNNNNNNNNNNNNNNNNNNNNNNNNNNNNNNNNNNNNNNNNNNNNNNNNNNNNNNNNNNNNNNNNNNNNNNNNNNNNNNNNNNNNNNNNNNNNNNNNNNNNNNNNNNNNNNNNNNNNNNNNNNNNNNNNNNNNNNNNNNNNNNNNNNNNNNNNNNNNNNNNNNNNNNNNNNNNNNNNNNNNNNNNNNNNNNNNNNNNNNNNNNNNNNNNNNNNNNNNNNNNNNNNNNNNNNNNNNNNNNNNNNNNNNNNNNNNNNNNNNNNNNNNNNNNNNNNNNNNNNNNNNNNNNNNNNNNNNNNNNNNNNNNNNNNNNNNNNNNNNNNNNNNNNNNNNNNNNNNNNNNNNNNNNNNNNNNNNNNNNNNNNNNNNNNNNNNNNNNNNNNNNNNNNNNNNNNNNNNNNNNNNNNNNNNNNNNNNNNNNNNNNNNNNNNNNNNNNNNNNNNNNNNNNNNNNNNNNNNNNNNNNNNNNNNNNNNNNNNNNNNNNNNNNNNNNNNNNNNNNNNNNNNNNNNNNNNNNNNNNNNNNNNNNNNNNNNNNNNNNNNNNNNNNNNNNNNNNNNNNNNNNNNNNNNNNNNNNNNNNNNNNNNNNNNNNNNNNNNNNNNNNNNNNNNNNNNNNNNNNNNNNNNNNNNNNNNNNNNNNNNNNNNNNNNNNNNNNNNNNNNNNNNNNNNNNNNNNNNNNNNNNNNNNNNNNNNNNNNNNNNNNNNNNNNNNNNNNNNNNNNNNNNNNNNNNNNNNNNNNNNNNNNNNNNNNNNNNNNNNNNNNNNNNNNNNNNNNNNNNNNNNNNNNNNNNNNNNNNNNNNNNNNNNNNNNNNNNNNNNNNNNNNNNNNNNNNNNNNNNNNNNNNNNNNNNNNNNNNNNNNNNNNNNNNNNNNNNNNNNNNNNNNNNNNNNNNNNNNNNNNNNNNNNNNNNNNNNNNNNNNNNNNNNNNNNNNNNNNNNNNNNNNNNNNNNNNNNNNNNNNNNNNNNNNNNNNNNNNNNNNCCCCCCCCCACAAAACUCAUAAAAACAGAAAAUAGGGGGUAUGAAGCUCACCUUGGUGUGGGGGCUCGGUUUUGCAAAGAAAAUGGAAGGAAAAUGAAGUGAUUUUUGGCCUAAGCUCCCUUUGAUGAAGAUCUCGAGUUUGAGAUGGUUCUAGGGUGCAAGAUCACGAUUUUUGCAUGGAUUAGGAGGAGAUUUCUGAUAAAUAAAGAAUACAAGUCAUAGAUCCAAGCAAAACCUUACCUUAGAUGGUGAUUUUUCUUGAAAGAUCUCCUUGAAAGCUUCUUGAAAUCUCGAAUUUAUGGGGAGGAAAUGAGAGAGUUUUCUUGAAUGUUCUUUGAGGGAAUUUGUGAAAUGUGUGUGUGUGUUUGAGAUGUGGCCGAGAGUGAGAGAGAGGAAGAGAAAGAAGUGAUUUUUGAAGCGAUGCUUGCAUGGAGGCAUGAGAUGUUGCUUGGAUAUCCUAUGGGUAAUAAUGAGGUGGCAUGGGAAAGUCAAACCCUCCUCUUGGGCUUGAUGUGGGCCGAAAACAUGGAAGGGAAAGGAAAUUUUUGGGCUUUUUGCUCCUAAGCCCAAUAUUAGAGGUAGUUUGGGUGCUUAUUAGCCUUAUAAAAUAAAAUUGUGAUUUUUAUGCUUUAAUGAGCUAGGUUAGGUUAAAUUAUGGACCAAAGUUUGUGAUUUAUUUCAUUCUAGGUCCAACAUGGUCCAAAAUGUUGAAAUAAAUAAGAGUGGGUCCAAUUAGAGCCCAAUUAGGGUCCUAAGCCCAUGGUAGUCUAAUUGGAAGCUUAUUGGUCCACUUGGAUCCAGUAAGGAAGUUCUAGUCCAAAUUAGACUCAACAAGGACUUCUAAGGUUUUCCAAUUGUUUGAUGACUACUUGUAGUACUUGUGUAAUGUAUUUACUUGAAGUUUCUGAUUCACAUUAACUUGAAUGUAUAGAUUACAUGGCUCAAAAUUUACAGUUGUGACAGAUAAUACCAAGUCUUAAGCUAUUUCCGCUUUUCUAGUUUUUCCUUUUUACUAGCUAUAGUUUGUUAUCUCUUUGUAAGUUCUAGUAUUUAAAGCCACUUUGCCCUAGUUUAAUGAUAUCGAAAUUCAGUGAUUACCAGUGAAUAAACUCUUUCAUCUGGUAUCAGAGCGAAAUUCAGAUCACUAAAAGAGAGAAGCGAGAUGAAUGAUGAUAAGUUGAAGGUUCAUGUCUUCGAUAGUCAUUACGAACAUUGGAGUGAGAUGAUGGAGAAUUUGAUGCGUGCAAAACAGGUUUGGAACCUAAUCGAUCCAGGCAUUAGAGAGCCAAUGGUGGGUGUUGCGCAGAGUGAGGCAAAGAAGAAGAAAUUAGAAGAACUAAGAAUGAAGGACUUGCAGGUUAAACAUUACAUGUACCAAGCAAUUGACCGUGUCAAGUUUGAGCAGAUCCUCGACCGAAGAACAUCCAAGGUUGUCUGGGAAUCAAUGAAGAAAAGGCUUGCAGGGAAUGAUCGUGUGAAGAAAUCCAUGCUGCAGUGUCACAACUAGAAAUUUUGUGUCUUGUAAUCACAACACUCAAGUAAAAUGUUGAAUCAAAAACUUAAGUGCAUGUAAGAUACUUACUUCAUGGCAACAAAAUUUCAAUCAAGUACACCAUACAAGCAUUUCAAAUAGUCAACAAGUAAUUGGAAACCCUAGAAGUUCUUGUGUAGGUGCAUUUUGGACUAGGACUUCCUUAUUGGGCCCAAGGGGCCAAUAAGCUUCCAACUUGGCUAUCUUGGGCUUAGAACCUUAAAUGGGCUCUAAUUGGACCCACUUUCAUUUAUUUCCAACAUUUUGGGCCAUAUUGGGCCUAGAAUGAAAUAAAUCAAUUACUAUGGACCAUAAUUAACCUAAUCUAGCCUAAUAAAGCAUAAAAAUCACACUUGUAUUUUAUAAGGCCAACAAUCAUUCAACCUAACUCUAAUAUGGGCUUAGGGGCAAAAAGCCCAAAAAUCCUUUCUCUCCUCUCUCUAUUCUCGGCCCAAGACAAGCCCAAAAGAAAAGGAAGAGUUGACUUAUUUCAUGACACCUCAUUUUUGUCCUUAGGUUUUCCAUGCAACACAUAUAUCUCCAUGCAACAAUCUUGUCAAGCUUCUCACUCCUUCCCUCCCUUCUUGUUUCGGCCGAGAGCACACACACACACACCUCACAAAAACACUCUCUAAAUUACUCAAGAAUCACCCACUCUCUCCAUCCAAGAUCUUGAAAAUUUGGCUAGAAGCUUAAGGAUCUUCAUAAAGUGAUUCAUCAUCUAAGGUAAGUUAAUGGCUAACUUAUGAUCUAACUCCCUUCACUUCAUAAAAAUCUCUUCUAAAUUCAUUCAAUCUUGUGAUCUUGCACCUUAGAAGCUCCUAAACUCGAGAUCUUCAAGGAAAGGUUGCUAGGGCCGAAAAUCACCUCAUUUCUUUCCAUCUCUUCUCCAAAACCGAAACCACACCCAAAGGUGAGCUUCAUACCCCCUAUUUUUCAGUUUUUAUAAGUUUUUUUGGGGGAGAAUACAAGCAAAUGUGUAGAUCUAUGAGUGUAUGUAUGCUUUGUGUGAUUUCUAUGUUUAUUUACAUGUUCUUAUGUGAUUAUGGUGUUGGAUCUAGUCAAAAAGGAACUCAAAACCGAGAUCUACAUUAUGUUGAAUGAAAUAAGUAUAAAUCAUAUUAUUUCAUACAAAUCAACUCUAGAAAAAUAACCAAGUUGGUUAAUAUGAACUCCUUUGGGCUAAAAUCCCAUUUUUGGACUUUAAAUGUUAAAAAUAUAAAGUUAAAGGGCCCAAAAUGUCAAAAUACAAAUUCUGAUGGUUGAGAUGAGUUAAAACAGUUUCAAAAAUGUAUUUUCUGGAAAAUUACUCUUUUGAAGGACUAAAAUGGAAAAUUUUAAACCUAAUGGGCCAAAAAUGCACUUUUCGGUCCAACAAGGCCCAAAUUGCGAGAUAUUCAAACUAGAGGAGCUGAAUCUGUAUUUUUCUAUAAAACAGAGGACUACUGGUGCUCCAAGUCCAUUUCAAGGGUUAAAAAUACUUUUCAUAUUCAAAAGGGACUAAAGAUGCAAAAAUUUUCUAUUUUGGGCCAAAAAUGUAAAAAUUGCGAAAAUUGAGGUUUCAGCCGAGAAAACUUCAUCUUGAGGGACUAAAACUGUUUUUCAAAUAAACUUGAGCUGAAAAAUACCCUUUCAAUAAGUUUUGAUGCUAAAGUGUCAAGAAAAAUGGUUUAAGGACUAAAACGGAAGUUCUUUUAUACAAAGGGCCAAAAUUGAAAAUUUAUCCAAAAGAAAGGGGCUGCAAAAGAAAAAUUCUAGUGAUUUUAAACAAUAAAUCUGUUAGGAUGGAAUACUAGUACCACGACUAUCGACGAAAUAUAAUACACCUUCAACACCCAAAAUCGUUAUCAAACGAACUGAUUCGGUCUCGAAUCAAUAACGAAUCCGAACUUAAUAACACGACGCUACUUCAAUACACACGCGGAAAUUUCGGGAAGUCAAUACACACGUGGGAAUACACCAGACGUCGAUACACCAUCUUUGGGCCCGAAAGUUUCAAAUCGUGCUUGUUGGGCCUAGCUAGCCCAAUGACAUGAUCUUUAGGCCCGAAGGAAACUCGCUUACAUGUAGUUGGGUCUUAUAUGACCUAAUUCCGUGUAAAAGGACUUUCAACGGCUUUUGUGCUGUUGGGCCCCAAGGGUCCUUUGGUACUGCUAGCGAAGUCGAGAAUUCACCAAUGCGAGUCGGGCUAAGGGCCCUUCGCAUUCACGAUAGCCUUGAACGACUUAUGGAAAUAUCGAGGGCUUCGUACCCUCUUUUCCUCCUCGGUUGUGGGGCUAUGAGAAGUCGGGUGGUUGGAUUAAGUGAACAGUACGAACGACGCCUAAGGGAUCGAUUGUAUAGUUGUAAACUAGUCAUUUUCAUUAAUGUGUGUUUAUAACAAUUCACAAUCCAUAAUUAAUCCAAUGUCACCGGGACUCAUCGAAUACACACGUCGCAACAAAAUAACAAAAUAUAAGACGCUUAAUUCAAAGUAUUAGGAAAACAUCGGGUUUUCCUAGGGGUUUUCAAUUCAUACACCUACGAGAUGCAUACCAAGUUUAACAAAUUCUUUUUUUUUACAUUUAUAGAAACAAACAAGCAUACUUACGGAUCUUCACACUUUUUAUACUAUGCUCUUUUCAGAAAAUAUCGGAUUUUCUGGUGGUUUUCAAAACAAUACAAAACAUUAUAUUUCAAACAUUACUUAUGAACUCACCAACAUUUCAUAUGUUGACGUUUUUCAAAAUACUUGUAUUCUCAGGUAACAGGUAAAUCGAAAGGGAAAAAUGUACUCAGUAAUGUCUUGCUGUUUGUUUAAUUAGUAUCAAACAAUUUACUUUUGGGCAUGUAAUGUUAUGGAUCAAUGUACUGAAUGUAAACGCUACCAGUUGUAAUACUUCAAUGCUUGGUGAUGUAUGAUGUUAUGUUUCAUGUAUAUUCAUUGUGAUGGUAUUCAAUUAAGUCACAAUAGCCCUCGGACGUUUCCGCCGUCUGGUUCGGGGGUGUGACAUGCAGAAGCUCCGUAGAGAUUUUGAAGUCUUAGAGAUGAAGACAAAUGAAACCAUACUUGAAUACUUUGGUAGGGUUUUAACAAUCUCUAAUCAGAUGAGAAGCAAUGGAGAAGAAAUGAAUGAUGUCAAGAUUGUAGAGAAAAUCCUUCGAACCCUAACUGAAAAAUACAUGUUGGUGGUGGUGUCUAUUGAAGAAUCAAAGGACAUUGAACAGAUGUCUAUAAAAGAAUUGCAGAGCUCUUUAAUCGUCCAUGAGAAAAAGUUCAAGAAGAAUGAAAGGGAAGAAGAACACGCACUAAAGGCUGAUACAGGGAGCAGUCCUAACUCUAAAGGAUGUGGAAGAGGUCGAUCAAGCUUCAGAGGAAGGAGCCGCAGUAGAGGACGACAAUAAGUAAACAAAGAGACAAUUGAAUGUUACAAUUGUCAUAAAUUAGGGCAUUAUUCUUAUGAAUGCCCUAAUUCAAAGGAGGCAAACUAUGCAGGGUUUGAAGAAAAUGAGGAAGUCAUGCUUAUGAUUGAAGGAAGUGAAGAAGAACAGGAUGUGCUCAUGGUGAAAUCAAAUGAUGAAAAUAGAGGACUGUUGUGGUUCUUAUAUUUUGGAUGUUCAAAUCACAUGUGUGGAAACAAAGAAAGGUUUGUAGGUUUUGACCAAGGCUUCUCAAACACUGUAAAGCUAGGCAACAACGCUCGGAUGACUGUGGAAGGAAAGGGAGAUGUAAAGAUUGUGUUGAAUGGUGCAACCUAUGUGAUAAAGGAUGUGUACUAUGUUCCAGAUCUAAAGAACUCCUCAACAUUGGGCAAUUGCAACAAAAGGGUCUGUCCUUUCUUUUUCAAUCUGAUGUAUGUAAGGUAUUUCAUCCAGAUAAAGGCUUGAUCUUUCAAUCAGGUAUGAGCACAAAUCGUAUGUAUCCACUCAGUGAAGAUACAAAUGAUGAUGAAGAGCAUAAUACAGAACUCAGAAGGAUGCUUAUACUCCAGUGAUGAUGAUGUGGCCAAGCUAUGGCAUGAACGGUUGGGGCACAUAAGUAAAACCAAUUUAAAGACCCUUCAACACAAAGGCAUGGUGUGUGAUCUACCCAAGUUGGUUACUGAUACUUCAGUAUGUGGAGAUCGUAUGAUAGGAAAACAGACAAGAGAGGCCAUACCAAAGAUAAGCUCAUGGCGUGCGAAAGAAGUCUUAGAGUUGGUACACUCGGAUAUUUGUGGACCAAUCACUCCAGCAUCUCAUACAGGCAAGAAGUACUUCUUGAGUUUUAUUGAUGACUUUAGUCGCAAAGGUUGGGUCUAUUUGCUAACAGAAAAAUCACAAGCCUUUGAAAGCUUCAAAGACUUCAAGAGCAAAGUAGAAACUGAAACUGGGAAGGUAGUGAAGGCACUUAGAACAGAUAGAGGAGGAGAGUACCUUUAUAAGGACUUUGACAAGUACGACAAUGAACAUGGUAUCAGAAGACAGUUAACCACCAACUUUACCCUGCAACAAAAUGGGGUUGCAGAGCGGAAGAACAGAACAGUAAUUAACAUGGUGGUAACUCUUCUUUCAGCCAAGAAUAUGCCCAAAAUGUUUUGGGCUGACGCAACAUGCUGGAGUUUCUAUGUGUUGAAUAGAAGUACAACUAAAGCUCUAUCAUACAUGACACCACAAGAAGCCUGGAGUAGUUUGAAGCCCACAGUCCAAAAUUUUCGAAUUUGGGGUUGUUUGGCACAUGUUCAUGUACCAAAGGAGAAGAGAUCUAAACUUGAAAACAAGAGUGUUGUUUGUGUUUUAACAGGUGUAAGUGAGGAAUCAAAGGCUUACCGUCUGAUCAAUCCGGAAACAAUGAAGGUCAUAACAAGUAGAGAUGUGAUUUUUGAAGAACACAAAGGCUGGAAUUGCCGAAUUGGUGUCAAGGUAAAGAAGAAAGUAUAGAAAAAGAACAACUCUCAUGGGGAAAUUAUGACUUCAUCGAUAAAGACUAUGUCUUUAUUAAUGAUCAUGGUGAUGAACAACAUGAAGUGACUGAAUCAGAUCAGUCAAACGAUGAAGUAGGUCCGAACACCACCACAAUUAGGUAGGGAAGACAGCAAAGAACCCAAAGAUACCUGCAGGAUUAUGUCACAGGUGAUGAACUAGAUUUAGAAGAAGAAGAAGAAAUAAAUGUCAUGGAAAUAAUUCAUCAGGAUCCUACUUGUUAUGAAGAUGCUGUGAAAGAAGCCAAAUGGAAGAAAGCAAUGGAUAGUGAGAUGGAGAUGAUUGAGAAAAACCAAACCUGGUAACUAGUUGAUCUACCAAAGGGUGCCAAGUGCAUUGGGGUAAAGUGGGUAUAUAAGACAAAGUUGAACGAAAAAGGCGAGACCGAGAAACACAAAGCAAGGUUGGUGGCUUGAGGCUAUGGUCAAAAAUAUGGAGUAGAUUACAUGGAAGUAUAUGCUCCAGUGGCUAGGAUGGAUACCAUACGUUUGAUUCUUGCACUUGCAGCAUAAAGAAGUUGGAGUAUUUAUCAAAUGGAUGUGAAAUCAACAUUUCUCCAUGGAACUCUGCAAGAAGAUUUAUAUGUACAACACCCACAAGGAUAUGUUGUGAAGAAUGAUGAACACAAAGUGUAUAAGCUUCAGAAGGCACUGUAUGGAUUUAAACAGGCCCCUAGGACCUGGUAUAGUCGCAUUGAGGCUCACUUUAUCCAUGAUGGCUUUACUAGAAGCAAGAUUGAGCACACUUUAUUCAUUAAAGAACAGGCAGGAGGAAAGCUAUUGUUUGUUAAUGUGUAUGUCGAUGACCUACUUUUCACAGGAAAUGAUGAGAAGAUGAUGAAUGAUUUCAAGAGCUCUAUGAAGGCUGAGUUCGAGAUGACAGACUUGGGAAAUAUGAGGUACUUUCUGGGCAUUGAAGUGAUACAAAACUCAGUUGGCAUUCACAUUUCACAGAGAAAAUAUGCAGUUGAAAUACUAACCCGCUUCAAGAUGUUAGAGUGUAGUCCAAUCAUAAACCCAAUAGUUCCGGGACGCAGACUAAAUAAUGAUGAAGGUGAACCAGCAAAUGAAACUUUAUUUAAACAAUUAGUGGGUAGUUUAAUGUACAUCACUACCACAAGGCCCGACAUACAGUUUGCAGUGAGUUUCAUAAGCCGGUUCAUGGUCAAACCAACUGAGUUUCACUUUGCAACAGCCAAACGAGUACCGAGGUACAUACAAGGAACUUUGGAUUAUAGGAUCUGGUACAAGAAAGGAGGCAAGGGCAAGAUGGAAAUUUUUACAGAUAGCGAUUUCGCUGGAUAUCUCACUGACAAGAAAAGUACCUCUGGAAAUGUGAUUUUGUGGGAUGGAGCAGCUGUCUCGUGGUCAUCAAAGAAACAAAGAAUAGUAGCUUUAUCAUCCACAGAAGCUAAAUAGGUAGCUGUUGCGUCAUGUGUCUGUCAAGCUAUUUGGACUCGAGAAAUACCGGAAGAACUUGGUGUGCAUCAGAUGGGUGAAAGUGUGAUAAAAUGUGACAACACUUCAGCCAUACGGCUAUCAAGGAAUACUGUUUUCCAUGGAAAGUGUAAGCACAAUGGAGUAAGAUUUCAUUUCCUAAGAGAAUUGGUAGCUGAUGGAGCAAUUGCAUUGGAGUAUGUUGAUACCAGGGAGCAGGUGGCAAACAUCUUAACCAAGCCAUUGCAUCAUGAUAAUUUUAUAAGGUUAAGAGAAAGAUUGGGUGUUUAUUCUCUCAAAGGCAAACAAGACAUGGAAACCUAGUCAUGUUUGAGGGAGGGUUUGAUGGACUUUAGAUGUCGUUAGCUCAAGAAUAAAAGAAUUCAAAUAAAGCUGGCUGGGUCAAGUCAAGUGGGAUUUGCACACGUGAUAAUACCAGGUCUUAAGCUAUUUCCGCUUUUCUAGUUUUUCCUUUUUACUAGCUAUAGUUUGUUAUCUCUUUGUAAGUUCUAGUAUUUAAAGCCACCUUGGUCUAGUUUAAUGAUAUCUAAAUUCAGUGAUUACCAGUGAAUAAACUCUUUCAAGGUGGUCACCGAUGGACUUUGUGGUCGUCGGUGGUGGCAACUUUGAACCAGAAUCACUCAAAUUAGAAUAUGGGUGGGGUGGGGGGUGGGGGGACAUUGGAAAUUGAAUGGGAAACGAGAUGGAUGUGUUGCUUGAUGUCGUCGGUGAAACGAAUGUCCGGAAGGACGAAAUCGUCGGACAAAAUCAAGAGAGAAAAGGGAGGGGUGUACUGCUGCAACUGAGGCCGCGUAUGACUUGAUCUAGAAGGUGAAACCAUAUCCCGACGACUUGUCGUCGAUAUAGGGUUUAGAUAAAUGACGUCGUUUGAUUUAUUUGCUGAAAUGAAAAAAUUAAAAAUUAAAAAGCUAUGCCGACGACAAGUCGUCAAGAUAGAUAUUUCACGCGGAUGGUUACGUGGCAUGCCGACGACAAGUCGUCGGGAUAGCUUUCCCAAAGCUGCGUCGUUUCGAUUUUCUACACCAUGGAAUUAAAAUAAAUGGAAAUUACAUUUGUCGUAACCUAUACCGACGACUUCUCGACAUAGGAUUUCAAAAGACCGUGAAAAAAUUUGUCAUUCCCGCAGGAUCAAUGACGACAACAUGUCGUCAACAUAGCGCUUCAGGUCAAACAUUUUUGGUCAAAGUUGGCAAAAGCUAUAGCAAUGACAUGUCGUCAGCAUAACCGUACUUUUAGCAUUGACAUUAGUCAUCAGGAUAGGUGUCGUCGCCAUUGAUAGCUAUUCUUGUAGUGCAACGAUUGGAAAUUACCAAGAAAUAUCAUAAGCUCAUUAUAUUGCCACUCCAAAUUUAACCAAAUAACAUAAAAAAGGCUACAUAAAUAGAAGAAACUUAUAAAAGACGAAUAAACUUAAUGUCCGGGGUAGAUUGUUGUCAUUUUUCUUCUAUUUUUAUAGAUAGAAAGUUGUGAAAAUGUAUGUAUUAAAAUGAAAAGUGACUUACAUAGUAUAUGAUCAGAGUCAAUCAAUUUCAGAGUUCAAUAAGUGGAUUCCACAUCUCACUGUGGCAAUUACACAACCUAUAUUGUUGAUUUUACAGGUAGGGCCUGAGAAAUCUAUGGUUAUAUCGAUGAUUUGAUUAAUUCUCUUACCAUUUCUUGGAAAAAAAACUUACAUAUGCAAUAGUUUUAUCUUUUUUCUUGUAUAUAAUAGGUUACAAAAACCAGAAAGAUACAUAUCAUAGUAAGACCAUAACGUGCAUUUGAACCGAUGUUUGCAGUUUGAUGAUGUGGACUAUCACCACUUUAGGGAACAACACAUCCUGAGUGGGGUUUAAGUAAGAGUUUUCCCGCGCAGGGUAGCCUCCUACACUCUAGCUCUCUUCUAAUUUGAUUGUGAUCGACCAUGGCUAGAAAAUGCUAUUUUUAAUUUUUUUAUNNNNNNNNNNNNNNNNNNNNNNNNNNNNNNUUUAAUUUUAGACAAAAAAAUGUAUAAUAUUGAUAUAAAAUAUAUUUAAAAAUAAAAAAUAUAUAUUAAAACUUAUAAUUGCGGCACAGUUUGUUGCUCGUUUACUUGCAACGUCUAUAUAAAUCUUUACUAUGAAUUUGGUAAUGGAAAAAUAAAAGAUGAAAUGAAAGUUGACUGUUUCUUAGAUUUUGAAGAGUAAAGAGAGGUGAAAUGAAAUGAAGUUAAAAUGACACAUAUGUCUUCUGGUCUAGUAAAGGGAAAGACGAUGCUUUAGGGACAAAUAAUGUUACUAUUCUUAUUAUAUUAUACAAUAUUUAUUUAUUUAUUAAAUAAGAUUAAUAAACGUUGUAUGAAAAUUGGAUAAUGGUAACGGUUAACAAAGAUAUUUUCCCAUAUUGAUCUCCAUUAAAAAGAAAGAGACAAAAAUAUAGGAUGGCAUCCGAAAGAUCUCCUGUAUAAUAUCUCUAAUAUUUGAGAUAAACAUGAUAAAAAUAAAAUAAAAAUGGAGGAUGAUCAUAAAAUUAAAAAAAAACGAUAAAAAUAGCCAUUUACAUUAAUUACAUUACAAAAUAGACAAAAAAAAUCGAAGUUGCAAAAAUAAUCAUGAAUUUCGCAGAUGGAAUAGUCUCAUCUGCGAAAUGAGCUUUCCAUCUGCGAAUGUACAAACAGCUAAAGCACAAUUGUGCUUUAGUUGUUUGUACAUUCGCAGGUGGUUUAUUUUAUUAUUUUUUUUCUCUGUAUAUAUUGAAAUUGUAGGGUAAAAUCACAGAUGGAAUAGCCCCAUCUGCGAUUUACUCUGAUUCCAUCUUUGAAAUUGCGGUUAUUUUUUAAUUUGUAUUUUAUUUUUUAUUUUUUUUUUUUAGUUUGACUAUGAAAUCAACUGGUUUGACUACGAAAUAAUGUUGCUGAACAAGAAGUUAGAGUUAUGAAUAGGCGUGUGGUAGAUAAAACUAAAAAGAAAAAAAAUUCAAGUCAAAAAAAUGAAAAAAAAAAAAACAUGUUUANACAUAAUGCCCGUAAACAUGCUUUUUUUUUUUUUUUCAUUUUUUUGAUUUGAAUUUUUUUUUCUUUUUAGUUUUAUCUACCACACGCUUAUUCAUAACUUUAACUUCUUGUUCGGCAACAUUAUUUCGUAGUCAAACCAAUUGAUUUCAUAGUUAAACUUAAAAAAAAAGAAAAAAAAAUUAAAAAAUUAACCGCAAUUUCACAGAUGGAAUCAGAGUAAAUCGCAGAUGGGGCUAUUCCAUCUGCGAUUUUACCCUACAAUUUCAAUAUAUAUAGAGAAAAAAAUAAAUAAAUAAAAUAAACCACCUGCGAAUGUACAAGCAGCUAUUGUACAUUCGCAAAUGGAAAGCCCAUUUCACAGAUGGGACUAUUUCAUCUGCGAAAUUCAUGGUUAUUUUUGCAACUUCGGUUUUUUUGGCUAUUUUUGUAAUAUAAUUAGUGUAAAUGGCUAUUUUUGUCAUUUUCUCUAAAAUUAAAACAAAAUAAUAAAAAAUAGAUAUUUAUAAAAAGGUGAUGAUUCUUCCAUAACCUUUUUUUUAUUCGUCCACAUAAUUUUAUGGAUAAGGGACAAUUAUGCCCCCAUUUAAAUAAAAAAAACGCAUUUGAAUACUUUCCGGAAAUUUGUUCACGCUUUAUUUAUUUAUUUAUUUAUUAUUAUGGCAUCCAGGUUUCUUUCUUUUGGAGCUGGGUAAAAUUCACAGUAUAGACAAUUUAUAUCUUUUUAUUUUUUUUAUUUUGUUCAUUCGUAUUUUCUGGAGCUUCGGUCCAUAAAUCAUCAUAAUUAUGUUUCUUCGUCAUCAAAAUCUUUUUGGUUGGCUUCAUAUGGGAAUUUUGAGCAAUACAGAUCCCUUUUCUUUUCAUUUUUGUAAUUAUUUUGUGUCCCAUUGGGCUGCGGUUGGGUGUUUGUGUGGUUUCAAUUCUUUUUGUGUGUGUAAAAUUAAAGCCAUAACCUACAGGUUUGGUAGGUUUACGGUUACAGCAUAAUAUUGCUGGGUUUGUUUAUGUCAAAGUAUGGUCGACUCAGUUACAUGUUAGUUAGACCAUCUCCAAUGCAUUGAACUCAUAUGAGUUCAAUAGAUUGACACAUAUACAUUCCACUCAUUAUACAACUUUACUCAUUAAACUCUACACUCCAUUAAACUCUAUACAAUUUAAUGGAUUGUCACAUCAUUUAUCAUUUUCUUUUUAUUUAUUGUUAUUUAAAAAAAAUUAAUUAACAUGAAAUUAAAAAUUAAAAACUACAAUUAAAAUUAACAUUAAUUUAAAAUAAAAAAUAAAAAAUUAUAUAUAUAUAUAUAUAUAUAUGUGUGUGUGUGUGUGUGUGUGUUUGAGAGAGAGGAGAGAGAAUAUAGAGUUCAAUGGGGAUUGAACUCCCCAUUCCAUUGAAUCCUAGUCAUUUUUCUACGAUGAUGAGGAUUUUGGGUUUAAUGAGAUUAAACUCCCCAUUAAACCUCCCAUUGAACUCCCAUUGGAGAUGGCCUUAGUUAUUACGGAAGGAAUUUAUAUUUGAUUGUAGAACUUUAUAGUUGGAACAGUUGAUCAGAUGCAGAGUAUCCACUUGCUGAAAUUUGCAUAUUGGUUUUGGCUGUUUUUUUUUUUUUUCCCAGCUGUGAUUCCCCAUUAGUUUCAAACUGGUUGUGGUUGGUGGAGCCAUGGAGUAUCAAGAUUAUUUAUUGGUUUCCCUCAUGAUGGCAUGAAGUAUUCAGUUUAAAGACCCUUUUGCCCCUGCUGCUUAAUUAGGAUCCUCAUGAAGUCUUUUUCUCUUGGCUUUUGAUCAGGUGUUGCCAACAUUCACUUCGAUGUAGCGCCGAAAGAUUGCAACAAGUUAGAAAAAGCAAUCUUUAUUUUAUCUUAUGUAGUAAAAUGGAUGGUGGAUUGAUUACAAAAUUAAAUAACUUGUAAUAUUUAUAUUUAUCUUAUGUUAUGCUGAAGAUUGUUGUAAUCCUAAAGGAUGAUUGUUGCGCCGAAGGAGAAGAUGGAGGCGUGUGGCGUGUUUGGAAACAAGUCAUUGGGUUUCUCUCUCUUUAAUAUAUAUAUAUAAAUAAGGGAAAAUGACUUAAAAGCCCAACGAAGUUUCCAAACCAUUCAAAAAAUCUCAAUCAUGUUUUGUCUGUUCAAAAAAACCCAACAAACUUAACAUUUUGUCUAAAAAGCCCAACUAAGUUACACUUUCUUGAAAGUCAAAUAAGAGAAACAUAUGACGUGAUUUAUUACCGUAUCGGAAAAAUGACUUGUUAGACCAACAAAGGUUCCAAAACGUUUAGAAACCCCAAUCAUGUUUUGACUGUUCAAAAAAAAAACCCUAACGAACUUAAACAAAACAAAAUUGGAAUUUUCUGAACGGUUUGGAACUUUGUUGGACUUUUUAGACAAAAGUUUAAGUUUGUUUGGUUUUUUUGAACAGAAAAAACAUUAUUGGAGUUUUUUGAAUGGUUUUGAAACUUCGUUGGACUUUUAAGUCAUUUUCCCUAUUUUUAACUCAGGGCAUAAUAGUUAGUUAACUUCAGAAUUAUAUGGAUGAAUUAAAAAGGGUCGUUGAAGAAUAUAAAUUAUAAAUUAUAAAUACGGAUAAUAUAAAUUCAAAACUUUAAAUUACAAAAAAGUUAAAUAAAUAUAUUAAGGAUAUACAUUGUUGCUUUCCAAAAACAAAAUACCGAGAAAAUUAUAAGAAAACAUAGAGACUCCUCUCCCGCGUGUUCUUCAUCCAACUCUUCGUUCCUAUUUUUACGCUUGUGAUCACCGUUCAUUCCUCAUCUUAUACGAAUUAUUUGAAUCGUAAGUCGUAAUUAACCCCUCUGAUAUUUGAUUGUAGGUAUUCGACGAUCUUUAUUUUAUUGCUGCUUAUUCUUUUUCUGGAAACAAACUGUGUGACUGUUUCAUAAUGGCCGGUGUAUAUGAGGUUGGAACUGAGAAUGGUAAAUUUCUUUCUGGUGAUUCUGAUAUUCUCGUUGGACAUGUUGAGGUGAUCGUUGAUAAGGGUUUUAGAAACGAAGUCUCUGGAUUGGAGACUGAUUCCAUUGAUCUUGAGUCUGCAACUGCAAAGGAUUGUCAGGUGAAAGGUGUCAACGAAGAAGUGAAUAUUAAAAGAGAAACAAAUGGGAAUCAUCUUGAAGUAGAGAAGGUAAAUGAGUCAGAAAAUGUAGUAGUGGAAACAGUUGAUCUUGAGUCUAGGAAAAUAACCAACACAGACUGGAGUUUGAUUACAACCGAGACUUCUCAACCAUUGGAGGACUCAAAAUCCCAAAACACAGCCUCUCGGUUUUUGCUGUCUACUACUAAUGUAAUCAAUACUUUGAGCCCAGAUUAUGCAACACAAAUGGCCAAAGAGACUGAACAAGUUGAGACAGAAGCUAUCGAUGUUCAAAUUAGAGAUGAGACUAUAAUUUCAGAGUUGGUAGAAGUGAGUGUUGAUAAAACUCAAACAAAUACUCAACAGCCUGUGAAGUCAGAAAACAAGAAUGGGGAGAUGUUAUUAGAAAAACAUGGGGUUCCUCGAGUUACAGAGCAUCAGCGUGUUGAUGCUUUUGAUGAUAAACAAAAUGAAUUUGAAGUAAAGAAACCCAAAUUAAUCUUCCCAAAUACAUUUGAGUGCCCUGAAAUAAAGUUUCAGUUUGGCUCAUUCGGUGUUCAUGAGAAAGAUCCCAAUAACCUAAAUCUUGUGUUGGAAGUCUUGAGCAGGGAGGCUGAGGCUGAACCCAUACGUGGAGUCAACAUUAACACUCCAGACAGAAUUCUUGAUGAUAUACAAAACAAAAGUGCUGACAAGGCGACUCACUGCAUGAAUGAUGUGGUUCAACCAUAUAACAGGGUUCCAAGAUUUGAUGAUGAAGAGCUCAAGGAACAGAUUAAAAAUGCUCAGUUGCAACUUGAUGAGAAGAUAAUGUGCAGAUAUGCAAUCGGGGCUGAAAUUCAAGAGAAUAGGGUAAGAGUUUUGUAAGUCUUUGAUACCAUGUUUUAUUAUAAAGUUUAAUAUUAUAUACUCAUAUAAGUACUUUGAUUUCUUCUUCUUGAAUAGGCAAUAUUGAAAGCCCAUUACGAGGUACUCAAAAAUGCGUACUUGGAGGUAACAGCUGCAAAGAAGUUACGUAAAUCAAAGCGGUCAGAUUUAGAAUCUAUUCUACUUUUGAUGAAACAAGUCACCAAGGCUGAAGAUAUAGAUAACUGGGUAUGAUGCUAUGAUUAUUGAUUACAUUCCUUUUUUCUACCCAAAAUACAAUAUGGCCAAUUUUCUAUCAUGCAUUGCUUUAUAUUCUAACUCAUGGUUUGUUUUUGUUCUUGAAGCAUAUGCAUAAAGUGGAGCAAAUGAUAGAGAUUCAAAACCAGAAAAAGAAAAUAAAGGAGCUCCUGAAUGUACGUAUAUCAAUCACUACUUUAUUUAUAUACUACAUAAUCUACAUUUUUAUUUCUUUCUUCUAGAGCUACAGUGGUCAUCAAAUUUUGUUAUAGCUAGAUAACUUAUUGCCGGAUCUCAUUAUUGUGUAACUUGAAUUUUAUUUGAUUGACAAUAAUGCUUCCCUAACGGCUUAAAAGGGCUGUUAGAUUUCCUAAAAGUUGAUCCAUUUUUUAUUCAAUGCAGAAUAUAAAGGAGGAAGUUGACUCUUUAAAAGAUAAUGUUUUAAAAGCUGAAGUGGCUGCCUUAGUAAUAGGAAAAAUAUAUGAUGAAGAAUACCAAAAGGGAAAAGAACUACGAGCUCGAUUCCAAGCUGCAGAAAAAGUCUGCCAACAAGCUUAUACACAUUUAUAUAGUUUGAAGAAACGUUUAUAUGACAAGGUAUGUUGUAAAUUUUUGCAUCUUACACAAAAUGAAACAUAAUAAUAAUAAUUAUAAUUUUCUAUUGAUUGAAUCUGCAGAAAAAACUUUUCUAUAUGUACAGAGAAGAUGCGACUGCAGCAAGGACUUUUGCAUCUGGUGGAGAUAAAGUUGCACUUCAUCAACCGUGUGUUAAUCAGGUUCGUUAUCUUAUCUUCUCGAUAUUCUAAUUUCAUAUUUAGUAUGUGGUUUGUGGCUAACAUGUUUUUUAAUUACUUUAGGUGGAAAAAAUAAUGGAAGAAUCGAACUCAAAUGAAGAAUUUAGGAAAGACAAUAUUAGUAGGACCACACCAAGGACACUUGUUGAAACUUCACCUGAGAGUCAUAUGAAUGAAAGAAUUGCUGUGAAAGCAGUUCCUAUCUCAAGUAAAUUGGAAUCCACUUCAGUAGUUUCAAAAGUUGAACAAGGAAAAAAGACAGUUUCGUGUGUGAGCAAUAUAUGCGAAAGAAUUGCUACGAAUUCAGUUUCUAUCUCAAGUGAAACCGAAUCCGUUUCAUUGGUUUCAAAAGUAGAACAAAGGAAAAAGACGACUCCAACCCCUGAGAACCAAACUAUCUGGAAAGUGGCUAGAAAGAGUAAUCGUAUAAUGAAAACCACAAAACCAGUUAAAUUUGUAGUAAGAGAUUCAAAGUUCAUUUGUUUGAGUGAGAUAACGGAGGACGAAGAAAUGGAAAAAACUAUGGUGGAGGUUGAUAAGAAGGAAGAUGAACUUAGUAAAAAAGAGAUCGAAUUCAAUUUAAAAGAGCAAGUGCAAUCGGAGGAAAAGAGAAAAAUGAACGAGUCAAUCGAGAGGAAGACACGAAAUGCUGAAAAUGCCCAAAAACGGGCUGAGUUGCGAGCUCAAAAGGAAGCCGAGCAGAGACAGAAGGUAUAACUUUUAAAUGUAUUUUUUUCAUUGUAUUUUUCUUUUGCGUUGUAGAAAAGGUUUUGGUUCAUACAUGUACACAUUGACCACACAAACAUAUAAAAAGUUAAAACACAGUACCCCACAGUUAACAUGGGGUGAUAAAUGACAAUGUCCCCGGACUCAAAAACAUGUAAAAUUAUUUUAUUGGGAAAAUGUAACCGAUUUGAGUUUGUGUAGGUGAGAGAAAAACGUUUAAGAAGAAAGGAAAGAAAGAGAACAGUUGGUGACAACAGAGUGCAUGAUGAAAAGAUUGUGACGCCAAAAGAGGCAAAUGAGACUGAAAACCCAUUGGCUGCGACACUCACAGUUGGAGACAGAAGGCGGUACCCACAAUUGUGGAAGAUGGUAACCGCUGUCGGUGCAGCUCUUAUAUUCUUUUUAAGCAACAUUAGAUAUGUGCAGCAGUAUAAUAGUUUUCUUUGUUUUUUAUUAAUUUUUUAUAGGUAGAUUCCUGAUUUUGAGUUAUGUAAUGCUACAUGACAGUUUCUAGAUUUUGUAAAUAUGGUUAAAUUAACGUGGUAUAGUUUUUUUUUUUUUUUUUUUUUUUUACAUCUUUCAGUACAUCAGAUUUUGUUGGAAAGUAUAAUGUUUGAUCUUGCACAUAAAUCAAUAGAUAGAGCUCUUUGAUUAAUGAUCAUAUAUGUCGGAAAUUGGCUUUCGUGUGGUGUUGGAAAGUGUUAUCUAUAUCAAAAUUUUGAAGUUUCUGACCAAGAUUUACAACUCCAAUCAGAUGAAACCCAAAAUCCAAACAAGAUGAAACUCAUAUUCAUCAAAAACAGAAUGACGAUUUUAAAGGAAGAAGUAAUUUUUUUUCCAGAUAUCUUUAGAUUUAGAUAUCAAAAAAUUAAUUUUGAAUGAUUUGACAAAUACAUUGUCUUGUGCCCCUUCCAGAUUCAUGCAACAUGUUUAUCCUCUUCAACUAGAUGAAAGAUGAGGAACAAAAUGUUUUCCUCCAAGAUUAUUAUUAAACCAAAAACACUAGCCAUCAAUGAAAAAAAAUCAUUGUAAAACAUCUCCACAGCAUUUCGAUAUCAUUUUCUGUUCCAAAAUCAUUGAUGAACACUGUAGAUACCAGAUCACUUACCAAACUACAGAAUUAGAUUGAAUUAUAAAGAACACACGGUGAUUGAAGUGAAUAAAGGCACCAAAUGAUUGUACUCAGAGAAGUUACAAAGAUAAUUCUACAAAAAUAGAUUGAUAAUUAAAUUGAAAGCACGUAAAUAAUGACAUCUAAGAGUUCCUAUUUAUACCAUUUAAGGCAAAAAAAAAUAAGGCACCUAGAUGUCUACUUCAUUCACUUUGGUUAUGUAAUAUACUCUAUACUCUCCAAUAUUCCAUUAUGUACCAUGUCAGAGCCACUUUAUUUCUCACUAGAUCUUUCACUUGUUCUUUCAACCUAUGUUAUACUACUCUUUCACUUUCACCUACUUAUUUAUUUUUUAAUACAAAUAAUAAUUUUUAAUUUAAACAUUUUACUUACUAAAUAAACAUAAAAAUAAAUAUAACAUGAUUCAUUAAUAAAAACAACAUUACAUAGUAAUAAAUAUAUAAAUAUUACAUAUUAAUAAACGACAAACAUUACUAAGAAUUACUUAAAAAACAUCACUAAAAAUAUAAGUUUAAAGAACAUUCAAGUUGCUUCAUGGAUAAAGUCCCUCCUGUUAUUUUCCAAUUUGUAUUGCUCGUUGGCCGCCUCUAAAAUAUUAGAUUUACCAUCAUUCAUUCAAAUGUUGAUUUAAGAGGCUAUGGAUGCCGUUGAACUUCGACCCCUUUUGGUAUAAAUCCUUCCACUUUGAGUUGAGUUGGUGGUGUGUUCGAUAGGGUUCACGACCCAUUUCAUUGUGAAGCAUAUCCGUAAUGCGGCUCCAAAAAGUAGAAAACCUUUGCGGGGUACCAAUUUAAUUAAUAUUUGAAACUCCGACCCAAGCACAUACCAAUGUGAGUUCCUUGUCCAUGGUGCAUGGUGGUGCGGCACAAAAAAUGGAAACGUUUGGGUCCAUUUUUGGUAAAAAUAUGAAACAUGAUGUAGGUUAAGAUAAAGAGAGUGUCGUUUGAAUAGUUGAAAAUAUGAUUCUCAAACCUUUCAGAUUACAUGCCCAUAAACCUUAUAGGAUGUGUGAGUAAGGUGAUUUCAAAAACCUUAGCCAAGAGACAUAAAAAGGUUUUGCCCGUGAUUAUUAGCAAAGAACAAACUGCCUUUGUAAAGGCAGAAACAUUAUGGAAGGACCUCUGAUGGUAAAUGAAGUGGAAAGGUGGGCUAAAAAAAAGGAAGAAAAAAAAUGAUGAUAUUCAAGCUCGAUUUUGAGAGAGCCUUUGAUAAUCUCAAUUGUAAAUUUUUGGAUGACAUGAUGGUUCAGAUAGGCUUUGGAGAGUUAUGGAGAAUGUAACGUCUCAAAAAUCAUAUCAAGAUUAAACUUUUCAAAACAACCCAUUUACUAAAAAGAAGUGUUUACAAAACCAUUGUUUCCAAAACAUUAUCUAAAAACAUAGUCUCCCAAGAUCAAAAACAUGAAACCAAGGAUGUGUACGAUCAUGUCUUCGCCUUGCCACGAUCCUCUGAAAUACCUGAAACAAAACUAAAACUGUAAGCCAACUCUUAGUGAGUUCCCCCAAAGUACCACCACAUAAACAUAGCAAACAACAACAUGCAUACAGAGCCUUUAACAUGACCGAACUGCCUCACUGGGCCUUCAACCUAUAUGGAUUGCUCUCCGGGCCUUCAACCUAACUGGUCCGCCUCGCAGGCCUUUAGUCUAUCUAGACCGCCCUGGGUAUCUUGGCCUUCAACACAAAGCAGGACCGCCUCAACCCGGUACUCCAUCACAUAUCCACAUAUACCAUAACAAUCAAUAGCUAGCAUAUACAGGUAGUCAUACAGAUCUAACCAAACACUAUAUCAUAGCAACAUCCUAUAUACCAUGAUACAGAUCUAACAGAUCACUACAACAUAGAACAUACGGUAAACCAGGAUAUCAAUCCAAUGAGCCGGCCUUGGUGCCUUCGACCCAUAAGUACAUUGAGGAAAACUCAUGUCACAAUCUGACGAAUAGUUGAUCGAUACUCUGCUCCCAAAUACCGGCUCAACCCAAAUCCAAAAUUUCAAAACAUUUCCAUUCUAAAUUAAUAACAUCUCCCCCAAAAUACCCGUGGUCAAAACUGGUCAAAAUCAACGAGUCAACCUAGUCAACACAACCAAGUCAACUCAGCCGAGUAGACUCAAGCUUCGUAUGUGGGGCGUACUCUGGAGGUACGUGGGGCGUACUAGUUGUCUGAGGCGUCGGGGCCAGAUCAACGUACACACAGCGUACCCUUUGGUACGCCCAACAUAUGCUACAAUCCCCUUCUUAACCUAUUAAGUGCUUAUUUCUUCAACUUAACACAUCCAAUUGCAGGUCCAAGGCUAAAAUACCAUCAAGAGUCAUAAAGUUUCCAACUUUAUGACUUUGCAUGUCCAUUAAGUGUUUAAUAUACAAAAUCUCAACAUCUUAAUGCCUUAAGACCUUAUAUAGCAUACAUGGAGUAAAACUAAGCAUCAAGAGCACAUUUGUAUGGCUCAAGACCCCUCAUAAGGUUUGAAAGGACAACUUAUUGGGUUAAGAGCAUGCCAUGCUCAAGAAUCACCAUAUUUAGGACCAAAAAUGCCCUAAAUGAAGAAAUGGCUAGAUCUACAAGAUAGAGUGAUCAAGUUAUGAAAUUUUUACUUCUAGGAGGUUUCUAGUAAGUCGGAAAUACUAUAUCUAAGUUUCUUUAAAGCUUCAAGGUCCUUGCACCAACUUCUCCUUCUUCAAGAGCACCAAAAAGGCACACAAAUAAGAUCAAAAUACUAUUCUCACUUAGGUUUUGCUAGAGGGUUGAAUUCUCAGAUGGGGGUUGAUGAGAGAAUGAUAAAUGAGGCUAUAAUGAUGCUUAAUAUGGAUCAAACCCUAAAAAUUAGGGUUUGAACCUCCCAACGCCCCACGUACACGGUGUACGCCCAUCGUACUAGAGUCCGCCCUAGUACACUCAACGUACACAAUGUAUGCCCAUCGUACUUUCCUUAGCUCAAAAUCCCCAAAAUGCCACAAUGAUCCAUUUGCACUCUUUCUUAUACCUAGGGACUAAAAUGCAAUAUUUAUUCAUACAUAGGGUUAAAAUUGUAAAUACCUCAACAUCGAUAUGUUACAGAGAAAUUGGAUGUUAGCUAUUAUCUCGUCGCCAAGAGUAUCGGUAUUGGUUAACGGGGCAGCAACAAAACAAUUCAAGCUUCAAAAUAGGAUUCGGCAGGGAGACCCCCUUUCGCCGUUUCUAUUUAUCAUUGUUAUGGAAGGAUUAAAAGUGGCGUUGUUUGAAGCAAUGGAAAAAGGGUUUUAUAAAGGGAUAGAUUUGCCUAAUAAUGGUCCAAAACUCUCGAUCUUCCAGUUUACAGAUGAUACUUUGUUUCUCGGAAAAGGUCAACGGAAAAUGCCAAAAACCUAAUGAGAUUUCUUAGAUGUUUCCAUGUCUCUUAUGGUAUAAUUAUAAAGUAUAAACUUUUCUAAGAGCAUAAGUAUGGGAGUAGGGGUUAGUCGUCGCGAGGUUGGGGAUUUAGCAAGAGAGUUGUCUUGUAUAGACAGAAACCUUCCCUUCCAUUAUCUUGGGUUACCAGUAGGCAGAAGCAUCACGAGAAAAAACAAUUGGCAAUGUUUGGUUGAUAAAUUCCAAAAUAAGUUGUCUUCUUGGAAAGCUUGAUGCAUCUCUUUUGGCGGAAGGCUAGUUCUUUGCAAAUUGGUUCUUGGACACCAUGGUUCCUAUAUGUUCUAUUUGUGUAAAGCACCGAUUGAAAUUAUAAGAAGCUUGAAAAUAUCAGAUGUAACUUCCUUUGGGAUGGAAAUUUGAAUAAGAGAAAAGUUGUAUGGGUUGCUUGGAAUAAGGUCUUGAGCUCAAAAGCAUCGGGAGGUCUAGAAACUGGUAGUUUUCAAGCUCUUAAUUUUGCGUUUCUUUGUAAAUGGUGGUGGAAAUUCAAACAUGAUCAAGUUUCUCUUUGGACCGAGGUGAUUAAAGCACUUCAUGGUUCUGAUGGUAGCUUAGGGAGGUCUCGUUCAGCCGCAUACAGAAGUGGAACAUGGGGAGUCAUUAGCAACAUCAAUAGUGACCUCAACAAGAUAAAUGUGGAACUUAAUGAUAUGUUUCUGAGAAUGGAUGUUGGUUGAGAAUGGAGUUUGGAGGAACAUGGUGUUUUCACAAUAGCCUCUCUUCGAAAAUUAGUUGACAACAAAACAUUGAGUUAUAGUCAAAAUGUUACGUACUGGAAUAAAAAUAUUCCUAGCAAAGUCAACAUCCUUUUAUGGAGGGCUCGUUUGGAAAGACUGGCGACUUUGAAGAAUUUAAGCGAUAGAGGAAUCAAAGUCACGUCUUUUAUGUGUCCUAUAUGUCUCUCGAAGGAGGAAUCUAAAAACCAUCUCUUUCUUGAGUGGUCUAUAGGAAAGGAAGUUUUAGCUAUUCUUUAUAAUUGGUGGAGUGAGAUUUCAGUUACUUCAAGCUCUAUGGAAGACCUGUUAAAUAAGAUUACAACUAGUGAUGAUAAUAAGAAAAUGAAGAUCAACAUUGGAACAAUUUUGUUGGCUCUUUUUUUUUGUGAUAUGGUCCUAUAGAAAUGACAAGGUAUUCAAUGGUAAGUUUAAAAAUUGAAAGUCUAUCUUCUAUAAGGUACAAAUUCUCUCGUUCCUUUGGAUUAGGAGUGGAAUUAAGCAAGAUAAGAAUGUUAAAUGGAUCGGUCAGCCCAAUCUAAUAAGUAAUUCUACUUAAGCUAUAUCUUUCUAGCGUCUCGCUAGUGUUUAAUAAAUUUCUUGUUGUAAAAAAAAAACUGUUGAGCUUUGGCUAAAUGAAUGAAUAGUGUUUUUCAUCCCACAUCGGGUGAAGAAUGAAGCUUGGGAGGACUCCAAGGUUAUAAAAUAAUCCAACAAUUUAGUUUCAAUGUGCCCCAAUCAAUACACUCGAAGUGUUUGAUUCUUUCUUUUCUUUCUCUUGUUUUUAGAGUGUUGAAAAGUCUUAGUCAAAAUUAUGGAGUGUAUGGGUGUAAUUUAGUGGAGGCUUGAUAGGUUGUCUAUGUGAUUGUAACAAAUUAUCAUAUAAUGAGAGAAAAUUUAGAGGAGGCUUGAUAGGUUGUCUAUGUGAUUGUAACUAAUUAUCAUAUAAUGAAUCUUUCUCUAUGGAGCCCCAUGAUUUUUCUUUGAUUUUGUGUUAAGUUAUUUUCUCUAUUAUUAACCUUUAGGGGGCUUGUUGGGGAUCUUUGAGGCAAUUUUCCCAACAAUGUCUUGAAAGAAGUUACGUAAAUCAAAGCUUCUAUAUUUAGAAACUAUUAAAUGUUUCAUGGAGAAAGGCAAGAAGGCUAAAGAUAUUGAUAACUAGGUAUAAUAUUAUGAUUAUUGGUUCCAUUCCUUUUUCUUCUCAAUAUAGAAUCCGCCAAAUUUCCAUCAUGCAUUAUUGUAUAUAAUAGCUCAUGGCUUUGUUUUUGUUCUUAAAGAAUACACAUACAGUGGAGCAUAUGAUAAGAGGUUAUCGACCAUAAAUACAAAAUACAUGAGCGUCUGAAGAUACAUAUAUCAAUAGCUACUUUAUCUUAUUAUUGUACUACAAUUAUCAUCAAACAUUGUUAUAAUGUGACCGCUCACUACCAGACUCCUCAUUAUUAUAGCUUGAAUGUAUAUAGAAUAUUGCUUUCCUAAAAUGGAGGCUGAAAAGCUGUUAAAUUUACUCAAAAGUUGAACCAUUUUUUAUUCUAUGCAAAUUUUAGAGAAGAAAAUAGACACUUUAAAAGAUAACAUUUUAAAAUUGAAGUGUAACAACGUAAAUUUUCCAAACAAAUUUUCAUUUUUAAAUCACACUUUUAAUCAUCAAAACCAUAUCAAAAUAUAAUGUAUCCAAUGUUAUCAUAACAAAAUAAUCCCAGAAUCUCAACAUAAUCUCUAUGAGUGUGUACGGAUUAUGUCGGCGCCUUCCCACGGUCCUCGCUAGUACCUGAAACACAUAACACAACAGCUGUAAGCAUAAAUGCUUAGUGAGUUCCCCAAUAUACCACAUACACACAUACGCCUUUCCAAUCCAUAACUCAGCAGGAUCUUCCGAUCCAUAUGUCUCAAGGGACUUCCGUCCCGAAUCCCGGUAGACCUUCCGGUCAUACCCGUAUCGACCUUCCGGUCUAUAACCUCUUGACCUUCCGGUCCAUAACCUCUUGACCUUCCGGUCCAUAACAUACAUAACAUUCAUAACACAUACAUAUCACAUAACAACAUAUAAAUCAUACAUCUCAUAGCAUAUAAGACCUUCUGGUCACACACAGGUACCCUUCCAGGUACAGUAUAGUGAGAAGACUCACCUCAAUGAAGUCGGAUAAACUCUCAUGCUCAAUGUCCCGACUUAGCCUCCUCCUAUUAUUCAGAUAACAUCCUGAUCAGAAUUCUCUCUUGAUCACAUCUCUACAACUGGGUAGAAGGUCAUUCUACCCAACCCUGAACGUUCCUGAAUCAGUCUUGACCAAAACCCUAAAGUUAACGAAAGUCGAUGGUUAAACUUUGACCCGACUCGUCGAGUGCACAUGGGCGACCCAGCGAGUCCAUGCGGUUUCUCUGAAUCCUUUCAGCCUCUCUUGACUCGUCGAAUCAUCCUUCCACUCGACGGGUCACAUCUGACACGAAUUGUGGGUCAACCCCGACUCGACUCGUCGAGUCCACUUAUGGACUCGGCGAGUUGCUGCCAUGCUCAAACUCAAAUGACCUUUUGAGGUCAGAUCUGUUCCUCUAAUCCUUAGAUCUAACCUCCCCAAGCUCAAUAAGCACGUAAAGGUUCGAACUUGAUACUCAUGCAACGUCCAAAUGACACUACUUGAUGAUUUAGUCCCAAAUACAACACUCUAAGUCCAUUUCUUCCAUAACCCAACAUAAAGCAAGAUGGAUAACAUUCUCUAGACCACUAUGGGUCAGAUCUGAAGUCUAAACAUGAUAAGUGACCUUAUUCUCAACAAAUCAACCCAAUAAAGGGUAUAGGAAACCCUAGAUCCAUGAACUAUUUAACAAAACAGAAAGAGGGUUGAUAUGCUACCUCAAAGAUGAUGCCCUCUACUUGAAAUCCACAAAUAUGCAACCUCCUUGGCCUCCUCUAAGCUGGAAUCAACUUCUUCUUGCAAAACAAACCCACAAAAGUCCAAUAAUGGCUUCUUCUCUCUCAUAAACGCUCAGGCACUAUUAGGGUUUCUCUCAAGGGUUUGUUAGCCGCAAAUGGUGGCUAUAAGGGUCCUUAAACAGGUCCCAAACCCAAGGAUUUAGGGUUUCAUUAAAUAGCGUGGACUCGCCGAGUCCACUCAUGGAAUCGUCGAGUCCCUCAUUAAAUCAGACCAAAAAUGCGUGAUCCCACUCAGCGAGUCAGAGUGCCUACUCGUCGAGUUCCCCUCAUAAAUUCAAUAUAAAUACUUAACAUAGGAUACCUGGGAAUCCGGAUGUUACAUGAAGUGACUAUCUUGGUAAUAGGAAAAUAUAUAUGAGGUAUAAAAUGAAAAGAGAAAAGCCUACAAGUUCAGUUCCAAGUCGUAGAUGACGUCUGCCAACAAGCGUAUGCACAUUAAAUAGUUUGAAGAAAUGUUUAUAUGUCAAUAUUUCUUGCAAAUUUUUGCAUCUUACACACAAAAAAAUAUAAAUAUGAAAAUAAUAACUUUAUGUUGAUUAAAUCUACAAAAACAAAUUUUCUAAAUGUACAAACAAGAUGCGAAUGCAAAGAGAAAUUUUGCAUCGAGUGAAGAUAAAUCUUCACUUCAUGGUCUAGGUGCUAAUUGGGUUGGUAUUUUUCUUGUUAGUUAUAUGCUUUCGAAAUUGAUAUUCAAUACGCGAUCCACAACUAACAUGUUAUUUAAUUACUUUAGGUGGAAAGAUUUAUGGAAGAAUGGAAUACAAAUGAAGAAUUUAGGAAACACUACAUUAGCAAGAUUAGAAUGUGUACGCCUAAUGAAACUAUGUGUGAGUGAUAUGAGUGAAAGAUGUAUACAAAAGAUCAACGAGGAAAAAUCGACGAUAAAUAUGAUGAUUCUUGGAACGUAACAAAUCAACACGAAUAACAAUUGAACACCUCGAUAUAGAGUGAAACUCAAAAUUAGGAAAAACCAUUAUGAAAACGACAAUCUUGUUAAGAAGGUUCAUGGGUCAUAAACCUCCUAGGAAGGGACAGAAAGUAGAUGAAAUUGAAUGAUUAAAACUUAACAUAUAAAUAGCUUUAUAUGUUAACUUAAAAAGAGUCCUAAACAAACUCUAAAACCCUUAAUUAAUAGGAAAAUUUGCUAUCUAGCAGGUUAACUUGAUAACCAUUUAACUAACCUUAUUAUGGAGUAAAUUCAGCUCCAAUAAAGCCAAUAAUAAACAUUUCAUGGAAAAUAAAAGUUUGCCAUGGAAAUUGGUUCCAGUGCAUCUUCAAAAAACUCCUCGUUUAGAUGAAACCGUUCUUCAACAAAAUAACCUUCAAACUUUAGAAGAAAUAAGUCGAAAAGUAAGUAGUGCAAAAAAUUACUCAGUACUAAAAUCUCUCAAACAAAAAAGAUGUAAAAACGGUGAUAGUUAAAAUCACCCAAACACCAUUGAAUACGAACCUUCAAUUCAACACAAGUACCUCAAAAGUACCCUUAAAGUAUUAUAAAUGCAUCAAAAAAUAACUUGUAAUGAUGGCAAGUCGCUCGUACUGAAUUAGUCUUCAUACCGUAACAUAUAACAUACCCCCUAAAUUAGUCUUCAUAUGAUAGCAUAUAAAAUAUUUCCUAAUGGACAAAAUACGUUUACGUUAUCAUAAUGCUUGAAAAAUACGUUCAAUAUAAAAAUCUUGAAAAUACCUUAAGAUAUUAAAUUUUAGAAAAAACGGUAUAGUAUUAUAAUGUUUGAACAAGUUAGAUGAUCUUCAAAAUUAAUUUUCUUCAAUGAACAAGUCAUAGGAUCUUGGUAUCCCCACACACCUAAAGCUGAAAGCCUCUGAAAAGUCGGUAAUAGAUAAGACAAUAACCAGAAACUCCAAAAGAGUUUAAUCCAAAAUUAAGUCUCGUCAAUUGUGGACAAAUCCACAUAUCUCUCCUCCACAAUAAUCCAACGCAUCAUCAUAAGCAACUUGAGACAUAAGAUUUAUCAUCUUCACUUGCCAAAAAAAACCUUGUGCAAUGGUCCAGAAGUGGAACUUCAUAUUUUAAUUUAGCCAUGAUAAAAAAUGAUUUUAGAUAACCUCUAAAAGUGGCCGAGGGAAAAUCAAUUAAUGAGAGCUAGAAAAAUCAAUUUGUAAGAGCUUGAAAAUUUGAUUUAAAGUACUUAAAUUAUUUUUUAUCAUUUGUUAUAGAAAUAAACGAUGCGGAAAUAACACAAAAAAACAAUAAAAUCCAUGAGCUGUGGAUGAUUCCAAACAUCUUUCCUCCAAAAGAACCAAAUAAUCAUAAGCAACUUGAGCCAAAAGAUCUCUCAGCUUUACUUUCCGAAGGGAAAUCCUUGUGCCACAGUCAAAAAGAGAAAGUUCAUAUUUGAUUAUACCCAUGAUAAAAACGAGUUUAAAUAACCUCUAAAGAAGGCCAAUGGAAAAUCGUUUGAGAAAAUCAAUCUAUAAGAAUUGGAAAAAAUUGAUUUUUGAGGUUUUGGGAAAUAUCAAUUUAUAAAAAUGUUGAUAAUUGAUUUAUAUGGUUGGGAAAAUCGUAUAUAAAACUGAUUUACUAUUGAAAUAAGGCUUAAAAACGUUUUAUCAACUUGGAAUACGACUCUAACGGAAAUGAUAUUUUAAGCUGCUAUAUAUGGUUAAAGAAAAAACUAUUUGUGUGUGUUCAAUAAAACUAUUAUAUUGGUUAAGAAAAAAAAAAAACAUUUUAUAUGACUCAAAAUAAAACAAUUUGCGGGGGCUAGAAUAGUAUUCAAGAAAAGGAAAUUAAGUUGGUUGAUAUAACACUUCAAGAAGGUAGAUGUUUAAGAAGAAUUGAUUGUGUGAUCAAACUUGUAGAAGAAAAAAUAGCCAAGGAUGAAUCGAUUGGUAAACUUGGUAUUAAAAAGGGUUGGUAAAACAGUUAGGGUGCGUUUGGUUGAGGAAAUUUUUCCAAGAAAAACGGAAAUUUUGAAAAUCCGUUUGAUUCAUUCAAUUUUCCAAAGUUUUCUAAGAAAAUAAAAAAUUUCAGUUUUUCAAAUUUUAUGUGAAUAAGAAUAAUGAUAUUUACAAUUUUCCAAAGUUUUUCAAAUUUCUAAAUGGAAAAUGAAAACUCUACCGGUUCCAACCAAACGUGUUUUCUAAUUUUCAUUGAAAAUUGAAAAUGAAAACUCAACUUUAGCAUCUCUGAUGUGCUUGUAAUAGUCAAACCAAAGAAAAAACCCCCCGAUAGGUAACCCUUUUGGGUUUAAAAACGAGGAUGUUGAAUAGGGAAAAAAACCUUUGUUGCGUUUUUGUAAAAGUCGAUCACGAAGAGUACGAAAAAGAAUGGCCAAGAAAAUCUAUCAACUCAAAAACAGCAUGCUGCUACUGCUGCUACUAUGGAAUUUGUGAUUUUAUAUCCAACAACCUGCUACCGAAUCUGUGAUUUUAGCAAACAAGAAUGAAGAGGCGUUCUUAGAAAAAGAUUUUGAAUUAGAAUCAUCUCCAAAGCCAUUGGAGGACUCAAAAUAUCAAUUAAUGAUCGUCAACUUAUUUUCUACUAAUGAUGUAAUUGAGACAAAUGAAGACCCAGACUUUACUCGUGAUCCAAUGGAGAAUGUGCAUAUUGAAGUGACGGUUGUUAAUAGUUUAGAUUCAAGUAGUAAUGAAGUAUUAGAUCUUAAUGAUUUGGGAGAAACUUAAGAAUCUAGAAUGGAGGACGAUGAAUUUCAAUUGUCAAGACAUUAAAUCUCAAAUUAUGGUCAUGGGUGGUGCUCAAAAUACUUGCAGCCAAGAUAAUGCAACAAAAUUAGUCAAUACGGUUGUACAGCCAUUGGAGAUAACUAAUGAUAAUAACUAAUCUCAAAUGGUAAUUAUGGAAAAUGUUGAAGAUACUACAAAUCGAGAUGAUGAUAUAAUAACACAAUCAAUCAAUAUUUCCAAUCAUAAACAGGAGAUAGAAGCUAGCAAUUAUCCAAUCAUAUAUCAUACUACAAUUUCACAGGUAAUGAUUGAUUUUCCUUAUGUAUGUGAUGAAAAACAAACAGAAAUUAAAGUUAUGGAAGCUCCUCUUGUACCCGUAUUGAUCUUCCAUGAUACAUUAGUGAGCCUUGAUAUAAAGAUUCAGUUUGGUUCAUUUGGUUAUCAGAAGAAAGAUCAAAACGAGGAGACCAAACCCACAUGUAGGGCCAGCAGUAACAAUCUUGAAAUAGUUCUUGAUGAUUUACAAGGAUUCAUAAGUGUUGACAAGGUAGUCAAAGAUAUGGAUGACAUGAUUUCUAUGUUUUCUGUAGAGGCUUCAAGUGAGUUUAUUGAUAGCAAGGUAUGAUUUCACUCUUUUUACUUUCUAACACAAAAUUUUGAACAAUUUUUCUAUCAUGUAUUAUACAAUAUGUUGUAGUUCAUUGUUGGUUUUUGUUCUUGAAGCAUAUACACAAAGUGGAGGAUAUGAUACACUAUAAACCAUUGUGCUUAAAAGAUGAAAAUUUGUUCAUUUGCAAAAUCAAGCAAUCAUAAGAGUUCUAUUUCAAAUAUAGGAAUCCAUUAUGAAUGUCAACAUGCCUUAGGGAUAUAGUUGAGCACCUGAAGGUACAUAUAUCAACACAAUGUAUGAUUCUUAGACUACAUUUCAAAGAGAUAAAUAGCUUGAAUUUUGAAUUAUAUACAAAUUUCAAAAAAAAAUGAGAUCCUUAGAAGAUAAUGUAUUAAAACCUAGAGUGUCGGCUUUAAAAAUAAGGAAAACACAUGAAGAAAAUGAAAAAGGAAAAGAAGUACAAAUUCCAUUUCAAGCUGCGGAUGAAACAAAAUCCACUAUAGUGAUUCAAAGUAUUUUCAAUAGUUGAACACGGAAAAAAUAAGACAAAGCACACUCACAAUUAUUAUCAAACUAUGGGGAGAUUAGUUGGGAAAUUUAAUCAUAUGAUCAAAACCAAGGAACCUAUAAAAUUAAUAGUAAGAGAUUCAAUGUUUGCUUGUUUGAAUGAGAUACCUAAGGAUGAAGAAAAGGAAAAAACAAUGGUGGGGUUUAACAAUAAGUCAGAUAAAUUAAGGAAAGAAUAAAUUGAACGCAAGUUAAAAGAAAUGAAGAAGACAGAUAGCGACAACUACAACAGUUUGAACAAGGAAUUAUGGCCGAGGAGACAAAACCAAAACCAUAUUUUUCAAAGGAGUUGAAACCAAAAAUCAUCUUCGCCUUGGUUGUUGCUUUAGUUUUAAUAUUUUUACCAACUAUAUAAACUAAAACACUUUCUUAUUCUUUUACAACUUUUUAUAGAUAUAUUUUGAGUUUGGAGGUUGUAGGGUGGUUUCUAAUCUGCAUAUAUGGUUAUGGUUAUUGACUUAUAGGUUAAACAAAUAUUAUCCAAAAUAUUUUGUCUUCUUAUUACACUUUCAUGGAAAGCAUAAUCUGAGAUUCUUUUGUACUUAUUAAAUAUUGGAGUUUAAAGAAAGUAAUUGACAUCAAAAUGGUUAAAUGGUAUUGAAUAUUGAUGACAUUAAAAUGGUGAGUAGGAACUAUAGAGUAAUAUUCUCGAUUGAAAGAUGGCAUUAGUUAUCCUAUUUAGAAGUUGCUUUUUAAUAUUGGCUAAACUCUUUAAUAUAAAUAAUUAACAAUAGUUUAGAUAAUUGAAAUAAAUAACAUGAAUGAUGAAUUGGAAAAAAAAAGCCAAUGCAAGAUCUUCGAUUUUAUAAGGCAACAAGAGCAACAAUAGGGGACAACACCUCUCUUUAUAGCUGGUAAAAACAGGCAUGACUUGAAAAACUGACACGAAAUAAAUGAGUUUGGGUAAGAGUUUUCAACCCGUAAGUAAACAGACCGACACGUUAUGAAAAUUAAGUAGGUAAUGUUAUGGUCAAUCAUUUUCAAUCCAUUUAAUGUUUUAACCAAUCCGACAACAACACAUUUAUCAAGUAUAUCUUUGUUUUAAUUUUUUCGUUGAAAAUUAAUAAUGCACUAUAUAUAGUUAAUAAACACCAUUUACUGAAUAAAAGUUUGAUACCACCAAUAUCAAAUAAGAUACUUGCAUUAUAUAAGUGUUUUAUCAUGAUUAUGUAAAUGUUGUUUUUCAAAGGGCCUGUAGCCCAGCGGUACCCAAUGUUUCCCUCCUUCCUUAAGGUCGAGGGUUCAAGACCCGUCGGGUACAUAGGUGAUAUUAGGAGUAGUUUAGGAUUAGGUUAUAUUUGUCGUUUCAAAAAAAAUGUAAAUGUUGUUUUUCAAAUUUAAAGAAAACCAUGAUUUUCUUGGGUAUCUGUUACUCUACCCAAUUCAUGGAGUUUGCAAUACUGAUGCCCAUUGUGUUUGCAUGGCUAUUCCACCGUGUUAAUGCCGCAUCAAAAAAAGUACAAGCUGCAAAUUGUACUUUGCAACCAUUCUAGCUGCAAAUUGUACUUUGCAACCAUUCGGACAGAAGCUUAUUUGGAAGACGGAUUCUGUCUUUUAGAUCCAAAGAGUCAUUCCUACAACCCCUUUAGUUUUGUAGAAGGAUCUAGGUUUGUAGCUCAUGAAUGUUCCGUAUGUGCAAUCCCUUGAAAUGCUACUAUUAUUUCUCCGGUUGUUGCUCCAAUCUUUACUUUGUUCAGAGGCAUUGUUUGAUUGUUCACUCGACUAAAGCUGUGAUUGCGUUGGUGAUGAAUGAUCACUCGUUGAUCUUUUGUGGGACAUUGCUUUGUCCCAUUACAAUUAGUUGAAGGAGAGAUGAGUCGCACGAAAGUAUUGUUGAAAAUAUAAGACAUAAUACUACAAUCAUUGAUAUUAAUUGAAUUCCAUAACGUAGUAGUCAUCGGUAAUCGUAAUCCGUAAUGAUUUACAAAUAUGUGUGUUUCCGAACGCGUUCUUAAAUAUCUAAUAGGAACAUAUGUAGAGUAUUACGGUUCUCUACUAAACAUUAGACAUGAUUGAUGUUUAUGAAGAUUUGCAGCACUAAUUUUUCUCAAGUAUAAUACAUUGCUUGAUUUCGAGUUCCUUAGUGUUUUUCCUUUGUGUCUUGAACUGCGAUCUUUUUUGAAUCUUCUAGAAUCUUCAAGUGUUUUAAGAGAGAAAAUAUUUUUGGAUUUUGAAAUGAACAAACAAAAAAAAUGUAAGACUCUAAUGGACUAUGAUGGCUCGGAGUCCAUCACAAAUGAACUGUAAACUAAGGAAUAAAAGUAAAGAAAAAAACUGACUACGAUGUGUUCCGAUGGAUCAAAUCCCAUUAGAAAUGAACAGUAACUAAAAAUUGAAAAACUAACGUGCAAGAUAAAACAGUGAAAUUUUACCUAGUUUGAUACGUUCUGACGCCUCAGAGCCCGUCGCAAUUGAACAAUACCCACUUUCAGUUUGAUUGUGGGACCAAUUCAGCUUCCAUCAUCCUAAUUCCUUGAAUUAUACGCAUAAAAUCAACAUUAGGUAUUGCCUUUUUGAAGAUAUCGGCAAGUUGAUCUGAUGAUUUAAAAAAAUGAAUCUCCAUAUUUCCAUCUUCUGCAUGAUCCUUGAUAAAAUUAUAUUGGAGUGUGAGAUGUUUUGUCUUUGAAUAUUGAACUGGAUUGUGACAAAUUUUGAUAGUACCUUCGGAGUCACUAUACAAAGGAAUCUUCUUCAUAUUUAUGGCAUCAUCUCUUAAUUGACUUUGUAUCCAUAUGAUUUGAGAAGUGCAAGCAGCUGCAACUAUGUAUUCAACCUCUACAGUAGAAAGUGAAACACACUUUGGUUUCUUAGAUUGCCAACUAACAAGCUUUCCAUCCAAGAAUUGACACCCUCCAGUUAUGCUUUUGCGAUCCAAACCACAUCCACCAAGAUCGGCAUUGGAGUAUGCUUAUACAAAGAAACAUGUAUUUGCCAAAUACCUGAAGCCUAAGGAUGUUGCAUUGCAAAGGUAUCAUAAAAUAUUCUUCAAAACCAUCAUAUGUGGUUCCCUUGGAUUCAGUUGAUGCCUAGCACAAUAACAAAAAGAAAACAUGAUAUCAGGUCUACUAGAUGUAAGAUAAAGUGAUGACCCAAUAAUACUACGAUAAAAAUGAUGUUGUAGUUGGUUUGUCAAGUGAAGGUGUUAGCUUCGUUUUGAACGUCAUCGGGGUUUUAACUUUAGACUCACCAUUCGUUCGAACUUCGUCAAUAAAGUCUUUGUGAAAGCUUCCUAGUUGAUGAAUAUUCGCUCUUUACUCUGUCUUGUAUUCAAACUAAGAAAAAAGUUAAUAGGACCCAUUGAUCUCAUCUCAAAUUUAGUUUCCAUUAAAGUUUGAAAUUCAGCAGUCAAUUUAGGAUUUAUUAAACCGAAAAUAAUAUCAUCAACAUAAAUUUGGACAACCAUCAAAUGAUCCCCAACCUUUUUGUGAAAGAAAGUUGGAUGGACUAAACCUUGUUUAAAUUUUAAUAGUUUAUGAAAACGAGUAAGAGUAUCAUACCUUGCCCUUGGAGCUUGUUUCAAACCAUAAACUUCUUUAUCGAAAAUAUAGCAAUCAUCUAGAUAUUUUUCAUUCACAAAACCUGGAGGUUGUUCAACAUACAUUGCUUCUUCAAGCUCGCCAUUCAGAAAUGCACAUUUGACAUCAAUUUGAAAAACUUCAAAGUUCUUAUGUGCAACAUAAGCUAAGAAAAUAUGAAUGGCUUCAAGUCUCGCAACAGGAGCAAAUGUCUCUUUAAAGUCUAUCCCUUCCUCUUGAAAAUAGCCCUUCACAAUGGGUCAUGCCUUGUUUCACACCAUAUUGCCUUCUUUAUCUAAAUUAUUUCUAAAAUCCCAUAUGAGACACACAAGUUAAGAAUCUGGAGGUUUGGAAUCAAAUGCCACACUUUAUUUCUGACCAAGAGCCAUCUUCACCAUUUUUGGUUCAUUUUUUGAGAUAAAAGAAUUAAACAUGCAAAACUCCUUAAUUGUGCUUAACAAAGUUUGUCUUUCUUUUUAUUGAGCAUGAGUUAAAACACUUGUAGCUGGAUUGCCAAUGAUUUGUGUCUUUAGAUGAUCUUUUGUCCAUUUCAACAUCAGAGGAUAAGUAGGAUCAUAUUCUAGAAUGAUUUCAAAAUUAACUUCUUUAGUUUUAGAAUAAUCACCACCAUCUUCACUCAUCAGACUCUCCUCCUGGAUAUUAUCAUCACCAUUCAUCGGACUCUCCCCUGGAUAUUAGCAUUGGUCGUUUUAAUUUGAACUUUCUCAGAAACAUUUUGCUCCCCCUAAGCAUUUUCCAUCGGAAUUAAAAGACCCUCCCCCUCAACAUGCUAAAGAUUAGGUUCUCUGACACCUAUAUCAUUUGGAUAAACAAUUUCAUCAACAACUUGAUUUCCGAAUUUGAGAUUAUGGGCUCCCCCCUCAACUUGUACUUGAAUAUCAUUGAUUGCAUCAUCAACGAUCUUAAGCAAUUCAUCUCCUUCAUUUUCAGUAGUCUUUGCUUCAGAGUUAAUAGCACGUUUAGGUUCGUCAAAGAAUCAAAUAAAAUUUUCAUCGAACGUCACAAUUUAAGAAAUUUUGGAACAUGUUUAAGAAAAAAUUUAUUCACAAGGAGUCACUUCAUUUUGAAAAUAUUUGAUGAAUUUGUCAUCAAAUGUAACAUAGUAACUUUCUUCAAUCUUUCAAAAAUUCUUGUUGAGAACUAUGUAAGCUUUGAUGUAAGAGAAUAUCCUAAGAAAAUAGCAUCAUCGGCCUUCUCAUCAAAUUUAUUGUGAUACUAUUUGGAAUUGAAAAUAAAGCACCUGAAACCAAAUACAUUAAAGAAUAUCACAUUAGGUUUACAAUUAUUUAAUAUCUCAAGUGGAGUUAUCAAAAAUCAUUUAUGAAUGUAAGAUUUAUUUGAAGUAAAGCAUGUGGUUCUGAUAGCAUUAGCUAAGAAAUAAAAAGUUAAGUUAGCAAAUGAAAGCAUUGUUCUGACAGCUUCACAAAGAGAUCGGUUUCACCUUUCAACCAUGUCGUUCUGUUGAGGUGUGUAUGGGAAUGAGAAAUUGUGAUUGAUUCCUUUUUUGUCAGGAAUUCCUCAAAAAUGUGGUUUUUGAAUUAUGUGUCAUCAUCACUACGAAUCUUCCUCAUAAGCUUUUGUAGUUGGAACUCAACUUGUUUCAAAAAGUCAAUCAUCUUCUGAGUGGUUUCAUAUUUAUGCUUAAGAAAAUAAACCCAUGUAAAUCUAGAAAAAUCAUCAACAAUAACAAGAAUAUACUCAUUACCAACAAUGCUUUCAAUAUAUGAUGGACCACACAGAUCUAUAUGAAGCAAUAUUCAUGAUAGAAGAGUGACUUUUACAGUUUUUCUUUCCCAAUGUUGGUGAUUUUAGUGUCACCAUGUCAUUUUAUGUAACUGGAAUUAGCAUGUGAGCUAAGGGGCUUCUGAAUUUGUUAUCUAAUAUGUGUACGGAUUGGUGCGGAGUGCACACAUGUAUAAGAUCAAAUUAGUAGCCGGUUCGACGACUAGUCAGGGGUCCGGGGGUAGUGCCCCUUUGGCGGGGUCUAGGGGCAGCGCCCCUGGGUGGGGUCCCGCUGAGGGUGAUUAUGGUAAAACUAACGCCGUUAGUUUUGGUAACCCUAAAUCCUCAUUAAAAUCCGGAUUACCCUGACUUGUUUCCAAAGGAACUCAUAGCGGCCCAACCCUAAUGAAACCCUAAUAUCAUUUAUUAUAUAAACGGAUCUUCUUUUCAGAAGAGAGAGAUACGAUCUUAAGCUCUCGUUUUUCAUCAUACUUUCACAGAAUCCUCUAGCAUAUUGGCUUACGAUUUCUGUGCCUAGAAUCGUAAGUGUCCACUUGGAUUAUCCUAGGCUGAAUUUCUUAUAACCCAGACAUAGGGUAGAAAUAUUAGUUCGGAAAGUGAUAUCACGAUCCAAGUUGGUAUCCAGAUCUCCACCACAAACCCUAAAUUUCCCUACACCUGGUCCACAAGUUGCGCACAAAUUAUCUUUGCCAUAUUUAAGUAACGGAAUACCUCACAACAAAUCACCAAGAACAAUUUUAUUUAUAUCUUUGAAGUUCAAAUGUGAUAAACUUUGGUUCCAUAGACAACUAUCAUCAGAAGAAGCUCUCUAAAGUAAUCAAAUGGAUGGUUUUCCUUCAAGUGGUUUAAUAUCUAAAGGAUACAUUUCGUCUUUUCUCUUUGCUUCAAUAGCAUCUUCUUGGAUUCUUUAUCAAAUGACACUUUCAGACCUACAACAAGUUGUGACACAGUAAUAAGAUUGUGUUGUAAACCUUUAACAUACAUUGCCUUUCAUAUUGUGAAUUAUUCAUUCGUAAUCAUUUUAAAUCCUUUUAUUUCACCGGUUGCAUUGUUUCCAUAUUUUACUCUUCCAACAUCCUUCAAACUUCGAAAAUCUCAUAACUGUGAUUUCCUUCCGAUCAUGUGAUGCAAAUAGUCGUUAUCAAUAUACCAUUCUGAAUCAUAUUGUUCGUCAUGAAUCACCUACAAAAUUACACCAAUUUAGGAAUCAAAACCCUAUUCGGCCCUUGUGAGAUUUUCGAUUUGGAGUUAACAACUGGAAAAAAUUUGGUCUUAUCAAUCCAAAAAGAUUUCACAAUCAGAAUAUCAUUCACAUUUUUCACCAUUUUGAAAACGUUGGUCUUCUUUUCACAAAGAUUAAUUUCCACAAAUGUUCUUUGAUUGUUAAUGAAAGCUUUUGCUUUUAGAAUCAACUCUUUUGGAUAACCUUUUUUCUCUUUCACGAUAUUUUGAAGCAUAUCACAACGAAUUUGUUCUGAAAUUGCAUUGUUAUGAUAAAGUUGAGUUAAUUGUAUAUGCAUUCAUUUAGCAAUGUGACAAAAGAUGUUUCUUUGAUUUGUUAACAAACAAUUAUCCAGUGUUUUAAAAACCGGUUUGAACCGGCCGGUUGAACUGGUCAAACCGGGAACCGGAGGUGACGACGGUUCGAUUUGGACCGGUUUUAUAACAAUUUUCUGACCGGAUUUAACCGGUCGGUUUUGGUAAAAAAAACCAGUUCAACCGACUGAAUUGAACCGAAGAGUCUUGGAUUUUUGUGUUUGUUUUGGGCUUCUUUGUUUGAUUUUGGCUUGUAUAAUGAUUGUUUUUAUAUGUUGCAUUCAAUUUACAUUUGUAAUACUAAAAAGAUGACAAGUUUUGUAAUCAAUGUAUGCAGGAUAAUUAAAAACAUAUAAAAAUAUAUAACCGGUUUGACCAUCCGGUUAAACAAACAUCACCCGAUCGGUUCAAUUAAAAAACCGGUUUUUAAAACAUUGCAAUUAUCAUUCUUCAUAACAACCAAAUCAUAUCUAACUUUAAAAAUAUCAAUCUCUAAUUUGUCUACUUUAAACCUCCUUUCCUCAUUUCUAAAAGUGCACCUACUAAGAUCGUUAUCAAGAUUAUAUACUUUUCUUCUUUCCAUCAUAGACUUUCACUUAAUUAUGAAAUGGUAUCUCUUAAUUCAUUUAAUUCAUCAUCAUAACGAUAAGCCGAAAUAUUUAAGGAUAUAAUAAUAGAAUGUACCUUAUCAGUUACCUUAUCACACGCUUCCACAUCAUAGAAUGUAGCUUAUCAGUUACCUUAUCGCAAGCUUCCACGUCAUAGAAUGUAUCUUAUCAGUUACCUUCUCACAAGCUUCCACGCGCUCCCCUGUACUCUUUUCUAAUAAACAUGAAUGAUGUGAGUUUAGUAUGAAUCAUCUCCAUCUUCAGAAUUAUAGCUUAGACCAUCAAAAUUAGAACUCUUCACUAUUAGACAUUUUCUAUCCUUUGAAGCCGUAGAAACAUUAGAAGCAAACAAAGCGUCGUGAGAUGGCCUUCGCACUUCCUCAUCCUGAGAGUUUGUAGACCAAACGUAAAUGUUUCUUGCAUCACUAUCCUCUUCCUCCACAAUCGGUGCCUUCCGUAUAACGUUCAUCUUCCUAAGAUCCUCGAUCUUCUUCACAUAAUACGCUUCAUCCUUCAUUUUCUCUUUCUUCUCACUCUUAUUUCUCAACACACAAUCCUAUGCAAAGUGAUUUUUACCAUUGCAUAAAUUACAAUCGUAACCAGAAUCACCAAGCAGCCUCUUUCUUUUCAUCAUCACUUUAUUGAUAAUUCGUAUAGCCAUCACUUUUGUUCUCAUCGGGAAAUGAAUUACAACCUUUGUAUCUAGAACCUCCACUUUCAGACCUUGAAUUACCGUCAUUCUUAAACUUUGAAAAGUUUUUCAUAAAAAAACUAUUUGGGAUUGCUCACCAUUAAAGCCAUCUCUUCUCUUGUAAACUCAUCAUCUGUAACAUCGGAAUCAAAAUCUACAAAAACCUUUUCCUUUGAUAUCUUCACCUUGAAAACCUUUUCUUUCGUAAUUAAAUCCAAUGGACUAGCAUUAGCAAUUGACUUUAUUCCCUCAGUGACCUCAUCUUCAUGCAAAUUUAAAUCCCAAUGACUUGCAACAACUUGUACGUUUUGAAUUGUUCAUGAGCCUUCACCGUCAACACAAUUGAUUUCCAUUCCGAACGGAGUCCUUGCAGAAAUUUCACCUUUUUCUCGAUUAGUGAACGUUCCAAAUCAUAUUUCAUCAGCCUGCUCAACAAAUGAUUAUAUCUUUUAGAGACCUGAUCUAUACUCUUUCUAGUCUUGUAUUUGAAUGAACCGAAGUCCGAAAGCAAUGAAGUUUGUACAAAGUGAAAUUGAUUGUCGUUGCCUACAUAUAACUCCAUCAAACGUUCCAAAUAUCAUUUGUAGUUUUGCAUGAACUCACUAACCUGAAAGUAUUUAGAGCAAGUGCAAAGCGAAUUUCCCUUUUCGCUUUCAAAUCAUUCUCAAGCUUCUCCUUCUCUUUAGUGAUCAUGUAUGUACACUUAUCACGAAGCCUUUCAUAAUCAGCAAUAAAGUAAACAAAUUUCGUCUUCGAGAAUAGAUGUGGACCUUGACUAAUAGAUUUCCAGAUGUAUGAACCAUGCUUCUCGUGUCCAAUGAAGUAAUCUUCAAAAUGCAACACCCACACUUCGUAAUUAUCCGGGAAUAGAGUUAGAACUCUGGUAUUCGAUCCAAUACUACUCGAUAUAUUGAACGCAACAAUGUGAGAGUCUUCUUUUUCCAUGAUUUCAAUUGAAAGUGAACAUGUGAUCAAAUCAAUGACUGAAAUAUGAAAUUCAAAUCAAAACGAGUUUUGGAACAAGAAUUUCCAAAUCAAAUUGCAAACAAUUGUAAUUGCGGAAGAGAUCAAGGAAAAUCGAAAUGACAAACGAGAAACUCGAAGAACACAAGAAAAUUCAACAAUUUGAACUCAGUUCAAAGAUUUCAUGCUCUGAUACCACUUGUAGGAUCGAUAGACUAGUUUCGCAUGAUUGAAAUCAUGUUUGAAAGCAAGAAAUGAUAAUACGAAAGAGUAAAUAAUUUUCUAAUUUGAUUUAGAAUAAGAAAUUUCAAUUACAAUUGUUGAGUGUAAGAACUUGCAAAAGGCUUACUCUACAUUCUAACUAACAUCCCUAUUUGUAGGUUGACAAAAAGGCAUUCGGUUAGAGAAUAACCAAUAAGGUUACGACACCUAGGCAGUAACACAUUAUAAAACAAUUACGCAAUAUUCACUACGAAACCUAAGGUGUACAAAACUCUAAAACCAAACAUGCUAUCGGAAUUAUACAUUGAAGACUAAGAUGUAACUGUGAAAGCUUUCACAAUCAAACUUAGACACAACACAUAUAGACUCCGAAACCUAACAAUUACAUCCGUUUAUGUGUAUUUAUGUUUGUUUAUGUAAAUUUAUAUUUUUGUAAAACAAACACAAACAAAAUAAUUUUUUACACAAACGAACAUAAAUAAAUAAAAAUCGUUAGUUUAUUUGUUCAUAUUCACUCCUCUUCUAUCCGGUUAACUUAAACGAACGAACAUUAACAAACUCUUAUUAGUGUUGUUCGAUUUGUUUUGCUAUCACACACACACGCCCUUACUAUGUUACUUAACUAUAUCUACGUCCCAAGCAAGACAUGAUCCUUUAACCGUCUCACAGACACGUUUCCAUUUAAAUGAUCAAGCCCUCUUUAGUAUGUGGUAAUCACGCAAGGAACAGAAUGGAGUAUUAAGAAGGAAUGAAAGAAUGCAUGUUUGGUUGGUGAUUGGAAUGGAAUUAUAUAUGUAUUCAAUAAGGAAUGUGAUUCCUUCAUGUUUUUCAUUCUUCCUAACCCCCGAGUAAUGGAAACUACCUAUUUUACCCUUUUUAUCGAAUUUUGUAACCAAUCAAAAUCUAUCCAAUCUGCAACAAAAUUAUACACACAAAGUAGAUUGAUAAUUGAUUUCAAGUCCAAACUAAAGAAGUGCUCAAGAACAAUGUGAACAGAAAAGUAUGUAUUGGAUUAUUUUCCCCACAUUUUCUUUGUCAUUCGUUUUCGACACUAGAUUGAAUUUCAUUUGCAGUUGUUAGUUUUCUUGAAGAAAUAUGUGCACAUUAAUUGUUGGAUGAAAUGUGUAAGUGAAAUAACUUCAAGGCAAAAGGUUGUUUUCUAUUCUUAUGUCUCUGUUAGUAAAAGUUGUAGGCCCAAUGAAAAUAAACAAGGUUUCGUUUUAGUACUAUCAUCAUUAGCCAAAGUAGCAAUCUCUAAAAAAUUUUGAAGGUUAUCUUCCAUAUGUGGCAAGUCUUGUAAUUUUGUGUCCAAUGGAUUUAUAUGUCAAUAACCUGUAAAGAAAUGGAUUGGGUGUAUUGGUUAUGUAAGUUUCAUUCCCAUUAUUUUUACUUCUAUGCAAAGUAGAUGCGCAUCCAUAGACCCACUUACCUUGUAAAUGGUAGGGGUGCACAUUUUCUCAUUAAUUUAACUUUCUUUGCACUCAUUUUUUUAAUUCAUGUUGAUUGGAUGCUAUCAUGCUAAUAUUCUUUUUGUUAUACAAAUUUAUUUGGGUGUUAUAUUAUAAGAUCGUUAAUCUAUGUAUACUUUAUUUAUGUUAGUAAAUUUUCAUUUAUCUAAUAUUAGUUAUAACAAUAUAAAAUAUAUUUUCUACUAGCUAAGUUUGUAAAAAAUGAUAAUUAUAUGCAUUUUACUUACGAAAGGAUUUUUAUCAUUGUCAAUAAACUUUCAUUUCAUUCAUCCGUUUUUUCCUUAACAUUUCAGAUUAAUAACCGUCAUCAUUUCAACGAAAUAAUCAACAUUCAAACAAACCCUAUGACAAAAGGGUAUACCGGUGACAGAGGGUUCAUGGUCUGAUGGCAACCUUAUCACGGUCGUGCAUAUCAUCCCUGAUGCUACAAUCAUACACACUUGUCUCAUGAUAAAUAUCAUGGAAGACUACAGCCAAUCAUUUUCUUCUUUUUUUUCUUUUUCUUUUUCUUUUUCUUUUUCUAUCAUUACAUAUACAAUAAUAUUAUUGGUAUGGAAAGAGAUGAUGGUUAGGUGGAGGGAAACCGUCCCCCAUAUCUCAUGGUCUAACAGUUGAAAAGCUUUUCAUGAUCUAAACUUCCAUUUCACAACACUUGCCUCAAUUCUUUGUUUGAAACCGGUCUUAGACAGAACUUUAAAAUAGUAACAUUCGUUCUAUCACUAUUACCCACUCAACGUAGUUUCAAGAGAGAAAGCUAAAAAUGAUAUCUAUUAAAAUCAUUUUUCAUUCACUUAUUCUACACAGAAUCGCUAAAUCACACAAACUCAUUACUAAUUCCACAUUCGUCCUUUCAAUUUUAUCAUAAGGAUGGAAACUUUUACAAACUUUCCACAGGCAUACAAUCAUUAAAUGGAAUACUGUUUGAUGAAGUCUUUAAUUAUCUCCAUCAAUUCCUUGGAUACUUGUGAAUCUGGAUCUAUGGUGAAGAACCCAUGUUGCUGACCUUCAAAUUCUGCGUACUCCACCUUUUUUCCCAACUUCUUCAAUCUUUCUGCGUAGUCUUUAGCUCUGUCCUUCAAUAGGUCAGCACCCCCACAAACCACCAACAUUGGGUCCAACUCCACCGGUUCAAGAUCCAAGCUAACCGGUCCAAACGGGUUCACUAGAGGAUGGUCCAUGGUGUCCCCAACCGGAAUCGAUAACCUCCAAAACCUAACCAACAAACACAUCAACCGGUUCAAAACACCGAUGAUAAUCAUAAUCAUACAUUUGAGAACAAAAAGGGUGUAAAGUGUAAAUUCAACCUAUCGAUGAGUUCCCAAUUCAAGAAAGCGUCUUUAGGACCAUGAGCCUCGGAUUCCGUUAACUGGGUCCCACCAAAAAAGGGUGCCAAGAGAACAUAGCCUUUAACCUGAACCGGUUCCAAGCUCUUGGAACCAGCCCUCAACCGAACCGCCAUAUUAUGAGCAAUGUUACCACCAGCAGAGUCACCGGAGAUGAAGACACGUGUAAAGUCUGCCGAGUCAACCAGCCAUGGGUCAGGCUCAGCUGCCACCGCCUGCGAUUGGAGCCACUUCACGGAAGUGAACCCAUCCUCCACCGCCAACGGAAGCCGGUUCUCAGGGGCUAACCGGUAAUCAGGAGCCACAAUUACAGCUUGUAAAGCCAGAGCCAGUUUAAAACAGUAGUUCUGACAGUUUGGCCAUGUUCGUGACCCGAUGCAGAAACCACCGCCGUGGAUGUAGUAAAACACCGGUAGCUUUUUGACCACAGCGGAAGCCGGUUUGUAAAGACGGAGGUGGAGGUUGUUUUGUUGAUCAAACUGAACGUCUUUCCAGAGCACCGAACCAUCGUCAACCACAGAGACUCGAAAGCUCGGUUCAGUUGAUCGCCAUAUUGAUCCAUCACUGUAAACUUUGAGCACCCCUCGACACUCGUCGACCUCCACUUUCGCCAUGGUAGUAGGACUGGAGUGGUUUUCUGUUGAAUUCGCUUUUAUGGAAAAGUUCUAGAAGAUGAAAACAAUACAAAAGACAAGAAAACGAUGGCGUAAAUUCUUCACAUUUGUUUGUCGGUUACGUAUGACAUAUUCAUUCUCAAUUACGUGCCAAAUAUGAGCUCUUUAAGGCCGGCCGUUUAUGCUUUUUUAUACCUAACCUAACCCAAAACAAUACGACAAAAACACUAUUAUAUUUCUAUAUGAAUAUCUUGUGUUUUGUUGGUUGGUUGGUUUUAGAAUCUAAAGAUGAUGAAAAAUAAUCUAUUGAGCAAAGAACAAGAGAAGACAUUACAUAUAAUAUAUGAUCCUUUUCCAUUUGGCAAAACAAUAUACAGAAACAAGAGAAGACAAACGCUAUCUGCUAUUAUAGUAAAAAAAAAAAAAAACUUACAUACUUAAAAGACAAUAACUACUAGUAACAAGUCAGCCACGGUUAAUAACAUCAACCAGAAGACACAAUUGUCUUAUCCGCCCCUGAUGUUACUUACUACAAGUCUCCAUUCGGUUUCAAAUAAGAACUUGAACGUAAAAGACCAAGAACAGGGGACAAAAACCGUCGUUAUCUCAUGCAAUGUUAUCAAUGAUCCCGUUUUUCUUAUUCACCUUUCCCAAAAGUUAAAAAUUAUGCUCUCUAAUCAACUCUACUUAUUCUUUUUCAUAGGUGGUGCCAUAUGUUUCUUUCUUUCUUUCUUUCUUUCUUUCUUACAUUGAACCAAAGUUCAAAUUCUCCCACUUAAACGGAGCAACCAAACCGAUAUUGGGGGCCCCACGAAGGAACAAACACACACAUACACAAACCGCAGCUAUUGCAAGCAUGGAGUGGAUAUACGGACGAUGAAGCAACCCUUGUGAACCCGGGAUUCUUCUCGGGUGUUUUGCUGUUACAAUCGCACAUUUUGAACAAGAUUUUGUGCCCACAUGAUGAUCCCUCACUCUGAAACUAAGCUCAUGGUGGUCAACAUGGUCAACCCUCCUUGCGGUUUGAAGCUCUAUCUCGUUUGAGAUAUGUACAGAGACUUGACCCGCUAUUCUGUUUGCAAGUUUUUGUGCCACUAAUGUGUUGUAUGAGUUGUUGUUUCUCAUGGUCGCGUAUACAAAUGGUGACAGCCCGUUUGCAUCCAAGGAAGAAUUCCAGCUCAGCAACCCAACCUAAGAUAUACCAAAAAACUAAUUAUUAACACUUACUCUUUAACCACAAUCACCAAGAAAGGCAAAAUGGGAAUAAUAAUAAUACCUCGUUCGGGUCGUUUGUCAAGGCAUCAACCAUAUCGUCUGAAUCAGAAGUGCAAGCAGCCAAAUGCAAGGGGGUGAUGCCGCCGGGUCCCGCUAGAUUUGGCGGGAAAAUGUACUUUCUGGAAGCAGCAGAAUCUGUAUCUGUAUCUCCAACUACUGAAUAAUGUAUGAGCAAAUCAACCAUGUUUUUGCAUUUUCUUUUAACAGCCCGGUUUAAAAGGUUAAUUGUAUAUAGCAUCUCCAUUGAUGAAUCGUCUUCUGUAAUGCCCCCGGAGCCUUUUUGAAGAAGAAUCCCUAAAAGAGUUUUCACUAAACCACACAAAUCUCUUUCAACCGAGAACACAAGAAGGAAUUUGAAUCGAGUGAGACUAUAAUGAGAUCCGGAUCCUCCAUUUUUUUUCUGGAAAAGCCAUCCAAGCUCAUUUAAAAAGUGUAUGGUUUCCUUCACCAAACUUGGUUGCCUAUUUUGGACCUCACCAAAUUCAGCCUCCAAAAGGUUCAAUUCUUGGCAGAGAGUAGAAUCCGCAAUGAUUAUAGGAAAACUCGUACCUCUGAAACCGUUUUCUAUCUGUUUCAUAUAAUUCAAAACAUAAGUUUCUGAUAAAACCAUGAUUCGAUAAUAUUUUUAAAAAGGAUUAUAGAUAUAUACCUCGAUGAAACAUCGACCACGUUCACUAGGUGCACAAAUUGUGAACCUACGUGUGCUAAUUUCCUCAUAUGUAGAAUCUUGAUCUGUUGAUUCUGUUGCUUCCUCCAGUAUACAUCCAUCCGCAUGUGUGCAAUAGAUUCUGUGAUACAACAUGAAAUUCAUUUUUUUUUAACAUUUUCACUCUGUGUUAAUAAUUUGAGCUUAAUUUAGUAUAGGAAUAGGUACAGACUUGGUGCCAGGUGUCCUUAGGUUUCGGCCUCUUAGGACAAAAGAAGUCUCCUUUCCGGAUACAACGGCUAGAGGAGAAAUGGAAAUCAACUGUGGCGAACUCCAUGCUUUCAAAGAUUUGAACAAAUGGACCUUGCCUGAUAAAUAUCAUAACAUGAAAGAUUUAGACAAAUGAACAAUAAUAUAAGUGUAAAACAAGAUAUAAUAACACGACUGAUGACUCACCAUCUUUAUGUGAAGCUAUUUGCUUUUCAGUAUGUGCUAAGAAUCUUCCGGAUCCCCAGAAAUCAGUACCAGAUUCUUGCACAAGAGCAUUGAUAUACUGAAGAAAGUUUCCUUCAAGCUGCAAGAAAAAUCACAACUCAGUAAAAAUCUUAAAAAGGAGGGAAAGAUCACUGCUUUAAUAGCUAAGAACUAAUUUACUCACUUGAUCCCAAGAAGACGAUGACAUGGACAAAUAAAUUGAAAGAACCACGCAACCAGGCUUUAUGUAUCCUUCCAUCUCUGAUGGACUUUGAGAAAGCCAAUUGUAAACCUAAAAUCAAGAAACCAAAACCAUGUUAAAAUAGAGCAAGAAUUUUCUCAUUUCUCAUUAGCAAGGCAAAAUGACCAAAACGCCCCUUCUCACCUGUGUCCGUAGUGACCCAGGCAAAUGACUCGGAUCCUUGUCAAACAGUUUAAACGAUAAUCGCCCGGUUCGAUCCUAUAAAAAAAACACCAAAUUAGACUUCCACAUGAAGAAAAGAUUCAUAAAUGUAUUAAUUGUGUAACAACCUGAGGAUCAGAAUUUAAGCUGGAAGGUGAUUGGUCAGAACCAGAUGAUGACGUGUACCCAGCUCUGUAAGGUGAGCUUUGAAUGGAAACAUUAUCAGCUCCAUUAUUCAUCCCUCCAAAAAGCUCCAGAGACAUGGUGGCUUUAACAUUUGCAGUAACUUCACCACUAGUAGACAUACUUUCAGGCUUCAUUCUCUCUCUUGAAGCUUUUGUUGGGAAAAGCCUUUGCACGACAGGUGGCGAAGAUGAUGGUGACCUGUCUUCCAUUGGAUUACUACUGUCAGAUGAGAAAUACUUCCUGCUUGAUGCUAGCUUAGGUGGACUGUCAUCUUCAGGUGAAGAACUGAACAGCUGUAACUGUAAAUUAAGGGGUGUGUCCAUCACUUGACAAUCUGAAUCCUCACGAGACUGAAAACUAGUGCUACUUCUCUCUCCUCCAGAAUGAACCAUGGUUUGGUUAACACAACCAGAGUUAGUCUUGUUCUUAUCAGCCUCAAUCACUUGGUUCCUUUUUUGUGACAAUGGCUCAGGUGCAUCCGAAGAGCCUGAAAGAACACCAAGAAAGUCCAUGGUUGAUGAACUGGUUUUUUUGUUGACUUUUUGAACCUCGGAAGAGGUUUUCUCUUGGUCAACAUUAGUCAAGCUUCCAGGAACUGGUUGUUUUGACCCUGGGUCAACCGGUAAAGGCAAAGAGUUUAUUUUGUUGAGAAUUUGCAUAAGCUGAUCUUUAUUAGGUAAUGGUGAAGAAUUCCUGCUCAUGUCCUCUGCAUUUCCUAAUAUUUUUAAGAACAAAUAUCAGGGUACUGAAAGUUUAAAGUCAAACAGGAGGGGUAUAACCGUACAAAAAAUGUUUACCUUGAGCACGAGCUAAAACUGUUAGCAAACCAACAAUAUCCAUGUCAUUGGCGCCAUUUUUAUCACCAUUUCCAGGGAUUAAUAACUGUAAAGCAACAUCUUCUGGCUGUGUCUUUCUUCUUCGCCUGUUGUGACCUGCAAGUCUACGCCUACAGCUUCUCUUCCCCUCGUCAAACUCAGAAAGAGGGUGGAACCUAGAAACAAGUUUGUGAAAAGGGUAAGUUAGUCAUUUAGCGCAAAGGUUUCAAGAAAAAGAAAGUGAUGGAUUGAAGAAUCAACCAACCUGCUACACUGUUGACAGAAUCUUUGCAUCUGUUUUCCAACUAGGGCUUUUCCAGCUUUACUAUGAACCUCACAAACCUUGUGACGCCUAUGGUAGUCUUUAGCAGUGGAUAGAUCUUCUUUGCAGUUAUCAACUUGACACAUUGGAUAAUUCCCGGCACAACCACUGCCAGGUGAACCAGAUCGGACCCUUUUGCUAGGCCUGGUCGCUGCCUCCUCACCACCACCAAGCUUCAACAAGAGGCGUUCAUCUUCUUCCCUUUGACCAACUGGACUCUUCUUUGACCCAUCGGGAUUGGGAGGAUUAACAGCAGUUUGAUGAUGGUGUUGUUGCUGUUGCUGUUCUCUAGAAAUCUCCAUCAUAUCCAAGGGUUUAGCCACGAGUCUUGAACUAUCCCAUUCCCAAUUUUUAGGGUUCCAACUGUUCCGUGGCUCAUUUAAAGUUGGGAUUAACCUUUGUAGAUACUGUUGUUGUUGCUGAUGUUGAAUAAGGUUUGGGUUUUGAUACGGCAGGCUUCGUUUCUUGGCCAUCGGAUGGGCAUCGGGAAAUCUUCCGGCACCGAUUGUGUUGUACAUAUAUAAAGGAGGAGCUAGUUGAGUACCAACCUCUUCCAUUUUUUCCACCAAAUAAAGUAUCCGAAUUCCUAUAAAAUUCGGAGCUGCUCAGAAUCACUUGCUAAAGAAUAAAAUAAUCAACGCUAUUUUGAUCCGAUGAAAUACUCCUAUUUCCCCUCUUUUAUUCCACAAACUAAAUCAAACCUCCCAAAUUUGAUUUUUCCCAUUUUUUUCAAAUGUUUUUGAGCUGCUCCUACGAUAAUUCGAAACUAGCUUAGCUAUAAACAUACAGAAAAUUAAAAAAGGAACAAAUAUAGGUCAAAAAAUACCAACCUCUACGAGUUCAUAACACCCUGAUCAAAAAUCCAGUGAGUGGUUUCUACAGAGAGGUGAGGAUUGGAUCUAACAGAAACUUGAUGAUGAAGUCGAAGAAGAGACGCCCAGAUCUGGAAGAGAGAGCAAAUAGAUCUGAUGAUAAAAGAAGAUGUGAAAAGGGUGGUGGAGUCAAUUGGAAGGUGUAGUCGUACGAGUCGAAUGGGGUUUGUUUUUUAGUUUAUGAUUAUCUCCUUUUUUUCUUCAUAAGGGCAAGAAAAACGUCAGUAAUAAAUUUCACCUUAUUACUCUCUCUCUCUAUCUGUACUUUUUCUCCACUCGUUCACAGUGAAGAUGAUGUUUGAGACUUGAGUGGUACAAAACCUAACCUCCCCCUUCUCGCCUUCUUAAAAACCCUCAACCCUAUUGUAUUAAAAUCGAAAAAUAUAAAAGGUGAAAUAUUUUUAAAUCAAAACAAAGUUUAUUAUUUAAAAUGAUCGAAAUUAUAGGUUUGUUAUUACAUAUCCUAUCAAUAGCGCGCUAGUGGUGCUAUAGCGUUUUGUGGUGAUACAGAACCAUUAUUUUCAAAUAGUGUUAGCGCUAUUAACGACGCUAUUUAUCCCGAACCUCAUCACCGCUAUACAUGAAUUUAUACUUUCGUUCACAUUUUGGUCAUUUGGUUAUUUUGUCAAAGAAAAAAAAUCAAUUGUGAGCUACUUCAAGUUAAAUCUCUUUCUAAUGAGUCACUAUAUUUGCAUUUUAAUAAGCCCAAUUAACAAAACUGAUUAACUACAAAGUAAAAAACAUUUAAAGCAAAGAACGACAUGUAACAUCUUUCUCGUCUCUUUUUUUACUGCUUGGAAACCACGAUGAUUUAAGUUGCGAUGAUCUACCUACACAUGUGAAUCUUUGAAUGGUAAUUGAUUUAAUGUUAAAUGUUUCUUUUUCAGUGUUUCACACUUAUAAACUCGUUAAUUUGUGAAACUGUGAUUUAGUCUUUAUCAUUUACCAAGUAUUACCUCACAUAGUCACACUGACAAUUCACUAUUAAUUUAUGAAGUUAUGAUCAUAUAUGCCUUUUUAGUUUUAAUGAUAUCAAUUCUAUAUAAACUUAUAGUAUUAAUACACUACUAUAUAAAUUAUAUAUAAAUAUAUAACAUAAAAUUAAAAUUAUAUAUAAUAUUAGGGUUGUUAUAUCAACGUUAUACCACCAUGAUAACUAUAAUUUCAAAUAGCGGUGUGUGGUCGCUAUUGAAAUUUUGAUCACGUUAACUACAUAGACUAUUNNNNNNNNNNNNNNNNNNNNNNNNNNNNNNNNNNNNNNNNNNNNNNNNNNNNNNNNNNNNNAAAAAAAAUUAUUAUUAUUAUUAUUAUUAUUAUUAUUAUUAUUAUUAUUAUUAUUAUUAUAUAUAGUUAAAUAUAAUUAAUAUGAUAAAGAGUUGUUUAUUAGAAAGUUCAACAGUUAAGUAUUUUUAAACCCAAUUAAUUUAAGAACUAUUUAAUUGUUUAUUUAUUCAAUUUCUUCAACCAUAUUCAUUUGAACCCCCAUAACUGUAAAAUUCGAAUCCUCGAGGUACGAAAAUUAAGUUAAUAUGGAUUUCAAGGUGGUCACGGCGUGAGGGAAGCACCGUCACGACAUGACAUGGCAGUGUUACGCAGGAAGGGUUAUUUAAGUGCCACGACGUGACACUUGAUCAAAUGUAAAACCUUAAAUUCGGAGUUGGACCCUAUUUAAAGGUAGUGAGGGACUAGGGUUUCCUUCACCCUCAUCCUUCAUCACCUUUAAACUUGUAUAAGAAAAACCCUAUGUAACACCCUGUUUCGAAUCAUUUCAUAAUUCAGGGUCGUGACCCAGAGACCGAUUAUCAUAAGGUUUAGUGUAACGUUCGUGUUUCUACGCUAGACAUUAAUGAUGAUGUUGUUGGAUUAGUGUCUAAGUCCAUAACUAUUUUGGUAUGUAGUUGACCCGAUGGUGCAUGGUCCUUUUGGGUUGCCUUCACCAAAGCAACUUGAUAGGAUGAAUUAUGGAGAGAAAGGAUUAAAUAUGAUUUAUUAAUAUAUUAUGAGAAUAAUAUAUUAAAGGAGAAAUCAUAUUGUUUAAUUGAUAUUAGUCAAUAAUUAAUUGGUAAUUAGUUUUGUGACUAAAAGAGAUUAAUUAAACUUAAGGGACUGGAAUUGUAAUUAUAAGAUAAUUGCAAUUUGGACCAUGGAUUGCCUUAUAAUAAGGAGUGGGCGAAU